AAACUUGUUGGGCUGGUAAUAUCCACUAAGGAGGCUUCAACAUCCUUGGCAUCCAUCACUGAUGGACCGUCUUCACUGCAUAUCUCAAGACUGCUUGCAGAAGCAUCUAAAACUAAGGCUACAGCUUCUAUAGCUGCUAUAUACCUUGUUAGAUUGAGUCUUGCAUGGAUUACAGGGAUCAUCCUUCUUGUCUCAACCCUCAUUGGGGUGAGCAUGCUUUCUCGUACUCUUGCCUAUUAUUGAUUAACUUUGUCGAAACGCAUCUCUGACGACACUAUGUGCUGAUUGUGCAGAUUUGCCUGCUCAUGAACAUGCCGCUUACCAAGGACACGCUCCUAUAUUCAAAUGUCAAAAUUGAUUAGUUUGUGCUGCAUAUGAAUUUUCACACGACGGCAAGGAAGUUUUCAACAGUCAUGCUUGGCUUUUUCCUUUGGACCCUGGGGUUUACAGUAGGGACACUGAGUCUGGGCUUGCUGUCCACCCUGUGUAGCAUAAACAUAUUGUUGCUAUGUGGAUCAUUCAUUGAGAACUGUAUACUGACACUGCUUGUAUGGGCUUCUCUUGCUUUUCCAUAAAUAAAUAAAAAUAGUUGAGGGGAGUGUAUUUUGUCAAUUUCAGCGAAUAUUGUACUGUAUUGUUGUAAAAUACCAGUAUGUGAACAAAUUUGCUACUUGGAUAUUCAUUGGGAUCACUUUAGUCUUAAUACAUGAUAUUGGAUGUUUGAUUUAUUGAGUUGAAAUUUCACAUAAAUUUAUUGAUCGUAUGUAGCUUUUGUGUGUUGCAACGAACCAAGAAUGAGUGCUGACUGGUCACUAUCCGCGUUGAUGUUUUUUUUUUGUGUGGGUACGUAAGUAAGUACUCCCUCCGUUCCUGAAUACAAGUCUUUUUAGAGGUUUUUAGUGGUUCUAUUAGAAGAUUACAUAUGUGUGUACAUAGACAGUGUAGAUUCACUUAUCUUGCUACGUAUAUAGUCUUUUAGUGAAAUCUUUAAAAAUACUUAUAUUUAAAAACGGAGGGAGUAAUUGAGAAAGUUAUACAAUGUCACUUUAACUGAACAAUGUGAGGAACAAAAAGAUAGGUACACCGCACUGAUUGCCACUGUCUAAAAUAUUUAAGAAAACAGGAACAUGCCGUUUCAUCUCACUUCUGGAUAGACAGAAUACCACUCACUGAAUGUACUCCCUUCGUUCCUAGACAUAAGUCUUUUAAAGAUUUCACUAAAGACUACAUACGGAAUAAAAUAAAUAAAUCUACACUCUAAAAUAUGUCUAUAUACAUCUGCAUGUAGUCCGUUAGUGAAAUCUUUAAAAAAACUAUAUUUAGGAACGGAAGGAGUAAUAAACUUCCGUCCGGUUAUUGCUCUGCUCCUGGCUCACCGUAUAACCAUGUUCACCCAUCUUGCUGCUCAUGCUAACUGCAGCUUCUAUUAGCCUGCUUGAAUUUUGCACUGAAAGAGGUAGAAAAUUAACAUAUGGAAAGAGAUACUAUGAGAAGAAACGGAUAGAAGAAAAAUAUACAUGCUUUAAAGUGGCAAAUCUUCCGAAGUUCAUUAAGAAAAAGAAUAAGAAACAUACCAUAUAUUUGUUUCACGAUUGACAUUACAAUGCAUAGAAGCACUAUUCGACAUGCAACAUAUCUGCACAGCUAGCAGAAACAGUCACCAUUGAAAACAUAUGUAAUAUAAUGAACUUGGUGGAUGUUAGCGAAAAGAAGAAAGCAAAAAGGCAUGAUUAUUGACAACUAUUCAGAAGCAAUGCAUUGAGAAAUUUAAAUGUCAUUAUAGCUAUGAAGUAUUAAGAUCCCUUAUAAGUAUGACAUUUAAAAAUAGUAGCUAUAACUUUUUGUUAGUUACUUGAUGCUAAUGCAUGUACUAUCGGUAAAAACUGGAUAAAUCAGACCAACACCGAAAUGCAGAAACAGUGCUUAUAUUAUAUAUUCUAACAUUGGGAGCAGAAUGGUUCAAAAAAAACGUUGGGAGCAAAAUAAUAUUCUAACAACACUUUCGAACUACACGCUCAACACGGGUGCACAACAUUGCCAAGCAAAGAGUACUGCAAUACCAAGACGAGUGAACUUCCCGUCGCAGAAAGAACUGCACGCAUUUUUUGACACCUUUUUUAUCUAGCUUUUAAACUGUUUGUUGGAACGAGGCUUAUGAUACGGCGUUAGAAAGCUAUGGAUUAUGCCCAACUUCGCCAUGUUGAACACUUUUCGAUAUUCCUUGCGGUUUAAGAGCGGUUUCAUAAACGGUGGGCGGUUGACAAGUGGCAGCGUGUGUGUUUUCGUGAUUUUUUCUAUGUCGUUCAUUGGAAUGAAGCAAACACUACGGCGUUGGAAGGAUAUCAUCGAGACGCAACUUUUUCAUAUAGAACACUCUCUUUAAUUCCUUACGACUUAAGAGUACUUUCAAAUUUACUCAAGCAUGUAAUUCAGUUUUUCAAAUUUUUCUAUGUUUUUGGUACGGUUUUGCUAUAGUUUUUUAACCUUUUGUUGGCAGGAGGCGUGUGAUACAGAGUUGGAAGCUAUGUAAUAGGCACAACUUUCAUAUGUUAGGUAUUCAUUGAGAUUCCUCACGGUUUUAAAUGAAUUUUGAAAACCGUGCGGCGGCCAACGAGUGUCAGCGAGCGUAUUUUUGUGAAUUUUCUAAACCUCUUGUCGGAAUGAUGCAAAUGAUACAGCGUUGGAAAGAUAUCGACGAUGCACAACUUUUUCUUGUAGAACACCCUCUCUAAUUCCUUACGGUUUAAGAGCGGUUUUGAAAUUACCGAAUGGGGACACUCUCUUUUUCGAGACACCAAAAUUGAUGCCUCAACCGCAUCAGACACAAGACCACACUGCUUCAAACUGAAAACCGCACUGCAUCCUAUGGACAAGCGAACUACAUGCUUUUUUUGUCACACGUAAAUUUUUCAAGCGAAGGAAGUUGAUCGCGCUUCACGUCGGGCGUAAAUGAACUUCAACACAAUUGAGAACUCAACCACACUACUUUUUUUGUACUACAAUGGCUGAGAAUACCGAACUGCAGGUUUUUAAUUUUUUUCAAAGUGAACCACACACAUUUUGCUACAAUGUAGUGCAAACUCCUCAACAAUAACCUUGUUAAUAUAGAGACGCACACGGAAAGUACACACGUGCAACAACCAAAAAAGUACUUAACCAUCGAGCUGCAAGGGUGGUGCUAAUGAUUUUUGAAUGCACACACAACUGAACCUAACCGCACUACACACACGACCAAAUUACAUCGGGGAAACCACAUGCCUGAGCGUCACGCCGCUGAAAUCCCGAACUGCACACGCCAAUUCACCAAACCGUAAUGGACUUCAUUACGAGUUGCUUGCCGUCGUCCGCCCGCGUGCGCUGCUAGGUGGUGCCUCGCGUCAGGAGGAGGAGGUGAGAUGGAGAAGGGGAAGAUGAAGGUCGACGGCAAGGUGGUGCACUACAAACUACGAGACCCCAUGCCCAAACUACAUGUGUUCUAUGGAACUGCGUGAGCCAUGCCCUGAAUUUCAUGCCCACUGCAUAGCGUACACUGAUGUCUACUACGCAAUUUUAUUCUUGUAGACUCUGUUGCCCCUCCAAGCGCAGAGUUUUUUAGGACAGUGGCAAUUUUCCUUCAAGUGGAUGACUUAAGGUUUAUCAAUCUGUGGGAGGUGUAGGAUGAAGAUUGUCUCUCUCGAACAACCGUGCAAUCAAAUACAAGAAAUCUCUUGUGUCACCAACACACCCAACACAAUGGUAAAUUGUAUAGGUGCACUAGUUCGGCGAAGAGAUAGUGAUACAAGUGUAGUAUGGUAGUAGAUAUAGGGUUUUUUUAAUCUGAAAAUAUAAAAACAGCAAGGUAGCAAAUGUAAAAAAACGAGCAAAACAUUGUAUAAAUGCUUGGUAAUAUGGCCUAGGGUUCAUACUUUCGCUAGUUCUCAACAAUGCUAACAUAAUAGAAUCAUAUGAUCACCCCUCAGCGUGCAACAAAGAAUCACUCCAAAUUUCCUAUCUAGCGGAGAACAAUAAGAUGAAAUUGGUGUAGGUAGUAGAACCGCCACUAGUAGAAAAGAGGCCUUUGGUUUGACGCAUUAGUCCGAGUUGGUUUUUGAACCGCGACUAAUGCUUCCACUAGUUCCAGUUCAUGAGGCUAGGCUUUUGUCCCGGAUUAUUAGAAACCUCUAGUCCCGGUUUGUGUUAAAAACGAGACUAAAGGGGUGGUGGCAGGGUUGCGCCAGGCUUGGGCCCUUGCGAGGGCCAUUAGUCCUGGUUGGUAAUACAAACCAGGACUAGAGAUAGAUCUCUGCUUUCUCUUUUCUCUCCUCCGUUCUCUUCCAUUGCUCGAGUUCAUUCUCAAUUUCUUCCUAGAUGUCGUUGUUUUGAUAUAGGGGUUACCCUGACGGCAUAUGCCAUGGGAUGGCUAAUCGAGGUGAGGGCAAGGCUGUCGUGGAUGAUCCGGGACGGGAUAGGGUAAUAGCACGCGGUGGUUUACCCAGGUUCGGGGCUCUCAGGAGAGAUAAUACCCCUACUCCUGCAUGUGUGUAUAUGAUGUAUAUUGGCAGUACAAGGUUGCUCCUGGAGCUGUAUUGGAGGAGGAAGAGAGUUGAGCGCUGUAACAACCAAGAUGUGGUCCUUUCCGAUCUGGGGGUCGAGGCCCCCGAAUAGGAAAGAAGCGCAUCUAAGCGUUUCGCAAGCAAGUAACAUAACACAAAUAAUAAUAAAAGUAGACAAUUCGGGAUUCGACUGUCUUCUUAUUAAAGCUCAGAGUACAACACAGAUACAAUCAAGGUAGUUCCGCUACGGACUACAAAACAUGGAAAAUGCUAUGCUACCCUGCUGCAGGCCCACGAUCACGACCACACCUCAGUCCUCUGGAUAGUUCACGUAGAGGUGGUCUGUCUCCUCGUCGUACUGCCACGCCAGCUGGGUGACGUCGGGAUCAUCUGCCUCUGGGGUACCUGUACCUGCUAGGAGUUUAGGAGGAAUCCGUGAGCCACGGGGACUCAGCAAUCUAAGACCUUGGUGCCAGAACUAGUCAUGUUAUUGGGUAAGGUAGGGGAGAAGUGUAUUAGGCUGCAGCAUCCUAUGCUUGAUUAAGUGGCUAACUUACGCAAAUUAGAAGUAAAGGUGGUCUACACUAACGGUCGGAUUUACUUGAUCACUAAGUGAUCUGAACACCUACCUACGGCGUUCAUAACCCCACCGUGUUUUCGAUCGAAGAGAGAUCUUCGAAGGGACAGUCACGGUUACGCACACAGUUGGCAGUUUUUAUUUAUUUAUGUUUAAGUUCUCUAAUACCGGAUGUUAUCAAAAUAUUCCAAAUUGCCACAUAACCGCGGGCACGGCUUUCCGAAAGAUUAAACCCUGCAGGGGUGCUCCAACUAGUCCAUCACAAACGAACACAGGCCGCAAAGGCAUCCUCUAUCACGAAUCUCGUGAUCUCGUCGGAUUCCUUAGAGGAAAACCUCAACUCUGGGGGAACCCAAAGCUUCACUGGGAUUCCUAUACGCAAGAUAUACCGCUUAGGUAAGGCAAGGCUAGCAGGACCUCCCGACGUGUCGACGACCCCGAUAAGAGCCGCGUAUCUCAGUCUCAGGACACGCCGGAUGGAACUAGCUACAGGUACCAAACCUCAAGUUUCCUUGUGGUGGCCCCGCAGGCAGACCAGUUGGGACCAACACUCAUGAGGAGCACUGGCCCGGGUUUGUUGAAUUAAAGAUCCUCGGGGUAGCUACUCCCUAUGCAGAUUAUUAUAAACUUGUUAGCAAAUUAACACCAAUGUUGGGUCCUGUCGGACAAGCCUUAGCACUAUGCGAUUUAUCGAGGGGUCUCCAUAACAACCCCGAACGUGUUAGGAGCGAUCAUUAUGGAAUCAAACACCGGUAGCCGGUAACUAAGGCGGCAAUAACGGAACAAAGAACCCGGCAAAAGGCUAGGCCUUCCGUCAUUUACCAAGUAUAUAGGUGCAUUAAAUAAAUAACAGAAUUUGAUAUGAUGAUAUCAAGCUCAUGUUAUCACAUGAGUCAAAACCCCUGCAACUAGCAACGCUAACAUAAGUAGCUGAGCAAGCCUACUUAGCCAUACAAGUUUGCUAGGAAGGAGUACGGUGUUUGGGCUCAUGGCAUAUGAAGAGACAAUUUAAUUUCAGUGGUAGGCAGCGAGCAAUUUGGCAUGGAAACGAAACUAACAUAACAAGUCUAGAGAUGGAAUCAAGGUCAUAUCAUCUUGCCUGUGAUAUCCUCAGCUUGGAAUGGUUCUGGAUCGUCCUGCACGUACUCUCCUGACUCCACGUAUUGCCCAACAUAAGAAUAACAGCCAAUGAACAGCAGCACCACAAGAUGCAACAAUCACAUGAUGCAUGAGAUGAAAAUUGAGCAUGCACCACUAUUUCUAUCACUAGCACAAGCAAAAUAAACUACUGCAAGUUUCUGGACAGAACUGUACACUAAGCUAUUUUGGCAUGCAUGAGAAUGACAUGAACAGAUGCAGCUCGUGAAAACGGUGCAAAACCAUAUAAAGAACAUCGCAAACGGAGCUACGGAUCAACGGGAAUCAACGAAACAAGAUAUGAAGCUCUACGUGGAAGAUUCAACACCACACACUCAAAUGGCACAAAUCUGGUAUUCCCAGGUUGCCAAGACCUGUAUCAUUCCAACAUGAAUGAAUUUGAGCAAGGAAGAACACCACAACAUCAAUCAAGCAAACACAUUGUUCAACAUGACAAAACUACCUAAUCUGCCUUAAUCUGCAUCUUAGCUCUUUGGGAGCUGCAUGCAACAUAGCUACAGGUCUUCAAACAUGACAAAUAAUAUAGGUGGCUGUUUCCAACCAAGAACACUACAAGCACCAGCAAGAAUCACAGAAAAAGGAAUUAAACUCUAGAAGAUACAAGGUCACAAACUUUCCCAAAACCAUCAGAUCUCAGGGACUUGGUGAAAAUUCCUGCACCUGAGUUUCUAUCUCUGUUCUGAAGCUUUUUGACAGCAAUCAAAACACAACCUACUGGACACCAAAUGAUUUGAAAAUUGACAGGAAGCUUCACAAACAUACCAGGUUCAAAAUCCUAGCACUGAACUAAGGCUAGUUCUCAACAUAAUGACCAGCACAUCCUCAUCUAUAAGAGAAGAAAAUGUUUCCAGCAUCCCAGACUUAGUGAAAUUUCAGAGUUCACUAAUCUGGAAUUUUUCAGCCACAUGCCCACUUUGUCUAGGCAUAGUAUGCACACACAUAACACCAAGAGGUAAUUGACACCACUAUGGUGUAGAGCAAAACCCCUACUACUAACACACAAAAACUCAUGCCCUUGGCCUCCACCUAUUCCAUGGAAUCAAAGAUCAAACUUGCUACAAAUCUGAAUAUGCAACUCCAUAAAGUACCCUUCUAAGACGACAACUACAAAGGUAGGGUUCAUGUGCACAAUGACAAAGUGACAUGGGGGUUUGAACCCCAUGUUUGUGUCAUGCACAUCAACAUCACAAGCAUAUCUACCAAACUAUCCCCACACACAAACCCCAUGCCCUCUCACAUAUAGACAUGUGAAGGUGCAUAGUUUUGCAAAGGUGGGGAAGUUCCACACACACACAUAUACUCCACAUCAUUCACAUCAACAUCAUUCUCUAGAUCAACACACAAACCUACACAUACUAAACAUGGCUUGCACACACACACACUACAUAUAUGACCAACACCAAAAUAUACUAGGCUACACAAGUUGCAACAGAGAGGAGGAAACAAAUAACUGCCACAUGAUGUAGCAAUAACAUGGCAUCACAUCUAGCAAUACAAGAGAAAACAACAAGGGAAACAAAAACAACAAAAAUAAAAGGGGUGAGGGGGAAUCGAACCCUGCACCCUCUGCUAGCACCCCCAACAGCAUUACCACUCUACUGCAGUCUCUAGUUCGAUAGCAACAAGGGAAAGAUCAAGUUAUAUAGCAAGUGCAGCUAUUGCAUGCCACUAUGCCAAGAAGCAGGAACUAAAAAGGGGGCAAGCUGGGAUUCGAACCCACACCCUCUCGAAGACAAACACCUGCUAUACCACUGCGCUACGACAUGGUGAUUGACAGAACAGGGAUCUGAAACAGGUAAGCUAACAUGACACCCCCUCUGCCUACAGAGAACACCAGCGACAGGGAGUUCGCCGGGGUGUUCUCUGGGGUUGCUGCUGCGCUGCGCUACCGGAGGCGAGCCCCCUACACGUCCAGCGUUACCUACGGGGGGAAAGAACCUCUGCUACAUGUAACACCGAAACCACCACGCCUCUACUCGAUCUGCUGCUGUUGCGCUACCGGACGAGACUACUACUGCACGGAGGUGCGCCGGCAACAGGGAGGCCGCCGGUGCACCGCACUGCUGUUGCUGCCGCUGCUGUGCGCGGGGAGAUCAAGGCGCUAUGCUGCUGCACCACGAGGAGGGCGACUUCCUACUGCUACUGCUACUGCAUGCACCACGAAAAGCUCCAGACUGCACGUACACUUGCUGCAGACGCACGGCACGGCUACCUGCAACCGGCUCGUCGGAACCAACGAGGGAGAAGGGAAGAGAGGGCCUUGCUCACCUCGGGGGAAGAAGGACGAGCCGCUCGGGAGGAAGACGCCGACGGUUCGCUGCUGGCGACGAAGUAGAGGAAGACGACGGGAACUCCGGGGCCGAGGCGAUGGCGCGCUCCUGGCCGACGUUGUGGUCGCCCCUCGUCCUCAACGCUGGUGGGAAUGGGUCGCGGGGAGUCUCCCCGAGCCCGUGGACAUGGCCACCGGCGCCGGAGAUGGCGGGAGGACGGCGUAGACGCGGCGGAGCUCCUCUGCUUCUCUCUGCUACUAGCUACAGGAGACUUACAGAGAAGAAAGAGGAGAAAGGAGGGAGGUGGCGGCGCUGGGGAGAAGGAGAGGGAACCCUAGGGGAGGAGGAGGGUUCCCUCCACCUUAUAUCACCUCGGGGAAGACGCUGGAGCCACAGGAUUAAGGGGAGGCGAUCGAGAGGUGGAGCUGCGUUCAUACGUGCAUGACGUCGGGAGGAAGAAGAGGGGUCUCGCGUGGGCUGCUACACUGCUCGAAGGGGUAUGGGCCUAGGAGAGAAACUGGGCCUCUCUGGGUGGGAGGGAGCCCACCAGAGAAGGAAGAAAUAAAACAGCCUUGGCAUUAUUCCUAAUUAGGUAAAAAAACAGAGAAAGAAAAGAAACCCUCACGACUACUGCUGAUAGUAAAAAUCAAAACAAAAAUGACCCUGGGCCUAAAAAUACCUAAGCUUUUAAAAUAAAAUGCUAAAGGAAUUUUAUGGGGCAUUUAAAUAAAUACAAAACAGCAAUUAAUUAUACUGUUUUGUGAUUUAUAUACACCCUCAAGACCAAAAUAAAACUCCACAUCAUCAUCCCCACAAUAACCUCUAAGUACAAGACAUUUUAAAACAGCUCUUGUGAAGAUGGAAUUUGAACAUGAGAAAAUAGGAGAGGAAAAGGGUUUGAAAGUUGCAAUGGGCUUUGAAAAUCCCAAGCAACCACUCCUACACUCCACACACCAUCAUCACAUGACAUCACACAUGAAAUCACAAGGUAGCUAACCACAAGAUCACCACCUACAUCUAUUACUAACACCACAAGAAAUCAUAGUGCAACAACUCAGGUAAGGGCAUGCAAUAAUAUGCUAUGCAUGCAUGCAUGAGAAGGAAAUAGAAGGAACACACAUGAAAUCAUGGUAUCAACUUUAACAUCAUAAUCUCUGACAAGGUGGUCCCACAUGAAGUAGGUCCAAAAAGGGAAGGUUCUACACUUGGGGCAUUACAAGCGCCUCCUCCUUGGCCUCAUGUCUCAGUGUGUGUAUGUGGGGGGGCCGAGAGCCUGAGAGAGUGAGAGGGCAGCCUAAGGCCUUUUGUAUGGAUGUGCAGCUUGGCUACGGUGGGUAGCUUACAUACCAAGCUGCUUGGCAUGUAAGCUACGGUGGGUAGCUUACAUACCAAGCUGCUUGGCAUGUAAGCUACCAUGGGUAGCUUACAUGCCAAGCUAUAUGCAGCUUGGGACCUAAGCUAUGCUUGUCCCCUGGGGCACUUUAUAAACCAGCGCCCAGGGGACAAGUUACACUGUAGAUGAAGAAGUACGACGCCUGAGAGGAUGUCGUAGUUGACUACGACUAGUCGUCGGGCUAGCGUAGCUGGCUGGACAGAGGAGCUGGCCGGAGCGGGCAGGCACCCCGCUCGACUCCGCCUCUUUGGGGUACCUCGGGAUUAUCCCCCCCCCCCCCCCCACACUAGAUUUGUCAAGAUUUGAGCGUCCCAUCCAUCCAAGUGUUCACAAAGGUUAGCAACUUUGUCCUUUCAUCUCUCAUUGCUAGAUUUGUUGGAAAUAUGCCCUAGAGGCAAUAAUAAAUUAGUUAUUAUUAUAUUUCUUAGUUCAUGAUAAUCGUUUAUUAUCCAUGCUAUAAUUGUAUUGAUUGGAAACAUAGUGCAUGUGUGGAUACAUAGACAAACCACUGUCCCUAGUAAGCCUCUAGUUGACUAGCUCGUUGAUCAAAGAUGGUCGAGGUUUCCUGACCAUAGGCAAGUGUUGUCACUUGAUAACGGGAUCACAUCAUUAGGAGAAUAUGUGAUGGACUAGACCCAAACUAAUAGACGUAGCAUGUUGAUCGUGUCUUUUUGUUGCUACUGUUUUCUGCGUGUCAAGUAUUUGUUCCUAUGACCAUGAGAUCAUAUAACUCACUGACACCGGAGGAAUGCUUUGUGUGUAUCAAACGUCGCAACGUGACUGGGUGACUAUAAAGAUGCUCUACAGGUAUCUCCGAAGGUGUUCGUUGAGUUAGUACGGAUCGAGACUGGGAUUUGUCACUCCGUGUGAUGGAGAGGUAUCUCGGGGCCCACUCGGUAAUACAACAUCACACACAAGCCUUGCAAGCAAUGUGACUUAGUGUAAGUUGCGGGAUCUUGUAUUACGGAACGAUUAAAGAGACUUGCCGGUAAACGAGAUUGAAAUAGGUAUGCGGAUAAUGACGAUCGAAUCUCGGGCAAGUAACAUACCGAAGGACGAAGGGAAUGACAUACGGGAUUAUAUGAAUCCUUGGCAGUGAGGUUCAAACGAUAAGAUCUUUGUAGAAUAUGUAGGAUCCAAUAUGGGCAUCCAGGUCCCGCUAUUGGAUAUUGACCGAGGAGUCACUCGGGUCAUGUCUACAUAGUUCUCGAACCCGCAGGGUCUGCACACUUAAGGUUCGACGUUGUUUUAUGCGUAUUUGAGUUAUAUGGUUGGUUACCGAAUGUUGUUCGGAGUCCCGGAUGAGAUCACGGACGUCACGAGGGUUUCCGGAAUGGUCCGGAAAUGAAGAUUGAUAUAUAGGAUGACCUCAUUUGAUUACCGGAAGGUUUUCGGAGUUACCGGGAAUGUACCGGGAAUGACGAAUGGGUUCCGGGUGUUCAUCGGGGGGGCAACCCACCCCGGGGAAGCCCAUAGGCCUUUGGGGUGGCGCACCAGCCCUUAGUGGGCUGGUGAGACAGCCCAAGAAGGCCCUAUGCGCCAUAGGAAGAAAAUCAAAGAGGAAAAGGAAAAAAAGGAGGAGGUGGGAAAAAGGGGAAGGACUCCUCCUUCCAAACCUAGUUGGAUUCGGUUUGGAAGGGGAGGACUCCCCCCCUUGGCUCGGCCGACCCCCUCAAGGCCAAGGGAAGGCUCCCCCUAUCCCACCUAUAUAUACGGAGGUUGUAGGGCUGAUUUGAGACAACUUUUGCCACGGCAGCCCGACCACAUACCUCCACGGUUUUACCUCGAGAUCGCGUUUCUGCGGAGCUCGGGUGGAGCCCUGCUGAGAUUAGAUCACCACCAACCUCCGGAGCACCGUCACGCUGCCGGAGAACUCAUCUACCUCUCCGUCUAUCUUGCUGGAUCAAGAAGGCCGAGAUCAUCGUCGAGCUGUACGUGUGCUGAACGCAGAGGUGUCGUCCGUUCGGCACUAGAUCGGAGCGGAUCGUGGGAUGGAUCGCGGGACGGUUCGUGGGACGGUUCGCGGGGCGGAUUGAGGGACGUGGGGACGUUCCACUAUAUCAACCGCGUUUCUUACCGCUUCUGUUGUGCGAUCUACAAGGGUACGUAGAUCGGAAAUCCCCUCUCGUAGAUGGACAUCACCAUGAUAGGUCUUCGUGCGCGUAGAAAAUUUUUUGUUUCCCAUGCGACGUUGCCCAACAAUGGUAUCAGAGCUAGGUUCAUGCGUAGAUGUCUUCUCGAGUAGAACACAAAAGUUUUUUGUGGGCGGUGAUGUGCGUUUUUCUGCCCUCCUUAGUCUUUUCUUGAUUCCGCGGUAUUGUUGGAUCGAAGCGGCUCGGACCGACAUUACUCGUACGCUUACGAGAGACUGGUUUCAUCGCUACGAGUAACUCCGUUGCUCAAAGAUGACCGGCGAGUGUCGGUUUCUCCAACUUUAGUUGAAUCGGAUUUGACCGAGGAGGUCCUUGGAUGAGGUUAAAUAGCAAUUCAUAUAUCUCCGUUGUGGUGUUUGCGUAAGUAAGAUGCGAUCCUACUAGAUACCCAUGGUCACCACGUAAAACAUGCAACAACAAUUAGAGGACGUCUAACUUGUUUUUGCAGGGUAUGCUUGUGAUGUGAUAUGGCCAACGAUGUGAUGUGAUAUAUUGGAUGUAUGAGAUGAUCAUGUUGUAAUAGUUAAUAUCGACUUGCACGUCGAUGGUACGGCAACCGGCAGGAGCCAUAGGGUUGUCUUUAAACUAACGUUUGUGCUUGCAGAUGCGUUUACUAUAUUGCUAGGACGUAGCUUUAGUAGUAAUAGCAUGAGUAGCGCGACAACCCCGAUGGCGACACGUUGAUGGAGAUCAUGGUGUGACGCCGGUGACAAUAAGAUCGUGCCGGUGCUUUGGUGAUGGAGAUCAAGAAGCACAUGAUGAUGGCCAUAUCAUGUCACUUAUGAAUUGCAUGUGAUGUUAAUCCUUUAUGCACCUUAUCUUGCUUAGAACGACGGUAGCAUUAUGAGGUAAUCUCUCACUAAAAUUUCAAGACGUAAUUGUGUUCUCCCCGACUGUGCACCGUUGCGACAGUUCUUCGUUUCGAGACACCACGUGAUGAUCGGGUGUGAUAGACUCAACGUUCACAUACAACGGGUGCAAAACAGUUGCACACGCGGAACACUCGGGUUAAGCUUGACGAGCCUAGCAUGUGUAGACAUGGCCUCGAAACACAUGAGACCGAAAGGUCGAGCAUGAAUCGUAAAGUUGAUAUGAUUAGCAUAGAGAUGCUUACCACUGAAACUAUUCUCGACUCACGUGAUGAUCGGACUUGAGAUAGUGGAUUUGGAUCAUGUACCACUCAAAUGACUAGAGAGAUGUACUUUUUGAGUGGGAGUUCUUAAGUAAUAUGAUUAAUUGAACUAAUUGUCAUGAACAUAGUCUAAUGGUCUUUGCGAAUUACGAUGUAGCUUGCGCUAUAGCUCUACUGUUUUUUAUAUGUUCCUAGAGAAAAUGUAGUUGAAGGUUGAUAGUAGCAAACUUUGCAGACUGAGUCUGUAAAACUGAGGAUUGUCCUCGUUGCUGCGCAGAAGGCUUAUGUCCUUAAUGCACCACUCGGUGUGCUGCACCUCGAGCGUCGUCUGUAGAUGUUGUGAACAUCCGACAUACACGUUUCUGAUGACUACACGAUAGUUCAGUACAAAAUACUUAAUGGCUUAGAAGCAAGGCGCCGAAGACGUUUUGAAACAUCACGGAACAUGAGAGAUGUUCUAAAGAGAUGAAAUUGUGAUUUCAUGCUUGUGCCCUUGUUAAGUGGUAUGAGACCUCCGACAAGAUUCUUUGUCCACGAAGUAAAGGAGAAAAGCUCAAUCGUUGAGCGUGUGCUCAGAUUAUCUGAGUACGACAAUCGCUUGAAUCAAGUGGGAGUUGAUCUUCCAGAUAAGAUAGUGAUGGUUCUCCAAAGUCACUGCCACCAAGCUGUGAGAGCUUCGUGAUGAACUAUAACAUAUCAAGGAUAUAUACAAUGAUCCUUGAGCGAUUCACGAUGUUUGACACUGCGAGAGUAGAAAUCAAGAAGGAGCAUCAAUAGUUGAUGGUUAGUAAAACCACUAAGUUUCGAGAAAGGCAAGGGCUAGAAGGGAUACUUCGUGAAAUGGCAAAGCAGUUGCUGCAUUAAUGAAGAGACCCCAGAUUAAACCCAAGCCCGGGACUAAGUGCUUCUGUUAUGAGGGGAGCAGCCACUGAGGCGGAGCAACUCUAGAUACUUGGUAGAUAAGAAGGUUGGCAAAAGUCGAAAGAAGUAUAUUUGAUAUACAUGAUGUUGGUGUGUACUUUACUAGUACUCCUAGUAGCACGAGGGUAUUGGAUACCGGUUCGGUUGCUAAGUGAUUAGUAACACGAAAUGAAAGCUACGGCAUAAACGGAGACUAGCUAAAGGCGAGGUGACGAUACGUGUUGGAAGUGUUUCCAAGGUUGAUAUGAUCAAACGUCGCACGCUCCCUCUACCAUCGGGAUUGGUGUUAAACCUAAAUAAUUGUUAUUUGGUGUUUGCGUUGAGCAUGAACAUGAUUGGAUCGUGUUUGUUGCAAUACGAUUAUUCAUUUAAAAGAAUAAUAGUUAUUCUAUUUGCUUGAAUAAUUACCCUCAAUGGUUUAUUCAAUCUCGAUCGUAGUGUUACACAUAUUCAUAAUAUUAGUGCCAAAAGAUAAAAGGUAAUAAUGAUAGUACCACUUAGUUGUGGCACUGCCACUUGAGUCAUGUUGGUGUAAAAUGCAUGAAGAAGCUCCAUGUUGAUGGAUCGUUUGGACUCACUUGAUUUUGAAUCACUUGAGACAUGCAAAACAUGCCACGUGAAACAAGUAGAGUAACUUGUUGGGAGUAAUGCAUUUUUGAUGUGUGCAGUCCAAUAAGUGCUAAGGCACGCAGUGGAUAUCAUUAUGUUCUUACUUCACUAACGAUUUGAGUAGAUACAAGAGUAUUUACUUGAUGAAUCACAAGUCUGAAAUGUUGAAAAGUUCAAAGCUAUUUUAGAAUGAAGAUCGUCGUGACAAGAGGAUAAAUAGUCUACGAUAUGAUCAUAGAGAUGAUAUCUGAGUUACGAGUUUUGGUACGCAGUUAAGACAAUGUGGAAACUGUUUCGCAGUUCAUGCCACCUGGAACAUCAUAGUGUGAUGAUGUGUCUGAACGUCAUAGCCACGCACUAUUUGGUAUGGUGCAUGCUAUGAUGUCUCUUAUCGAAUUACCACUAUCGUUUAUGGGUUAUGCAUUAGAGACAACCGCAUUCACUUUAAAUAGGGCAGCGCGUGUUUCCGUUGAGAUGACACAGUAUAGACUGAGGUUUAGAGAAAUCUAAACUAUCGUUUCUUGAAAGUUUGGGGCUUCGACACUUAUGUGAAAAAGUUUCAGUCUGAUAAGCUCGAACCCAAAGCGGAUAAAUGCAUCUUCAUAGGAUAUCCAAAACAGUUGGGUACAUCUCCUAUCUCAGAUCCGAAAGCAAAGUGUUUGUUUCUAGAAACGGAUCCUUUCUCGAGGAAAGGUUUCUCUCGAAAGAAUUGAGUGGGAGGGUGGUAGAACUUGAUGAGGUUAUUGAACCAUCACUUUAACUAGUGUGUAGCAGGGCACAGGAAGUUGUUCCUGUGGCGCCUACACCAAUUGAAGUGAAAGCUGAUGAUGGUGAUCAUCGAGCAUCGGAUCAAGUUACUACAAACCUCGUAGGUUGACAAGGUCGCGUACUACUGCAGAGUGGUACGGUAACCCUGUCUUGGAGGUCAUGUUGUUGAGCAACAGUGAACCUACGAGUUAUGGAGAAAGCAAUGGUGGGCCCGGAUUCCGACAAAUGGCUGGAGGCCAUGAAAUCCGAGAGAGGAUCCAUGUAUGAAAACAAAGUGUAGACUUUGGAAGAACUACUUGAUGGUCAUAGGACUAUUGAGUAAAGAUGUAUCUUUAAAAGGAAGACAGACGAUGAUGGUGAUAAGUCACUAUUAAGAAAAGCUCGACUUGUCGCAAAGAUGUUUCCGACAAGAUCAAACAGUUGACUAUGAUGAGACUUUCUCACUCGUAGCGAUGCUGAAAGUCUGUUAGAAUUAUGUUAGUAGUUGUUGCAUUGUUUAUGAAAUAUUGCACAUAGGAUGUCAAAACAUUGUUUCUUCGACGGUUUCCUUGAGCAAACAUUGUAUGUGAUACAACCAGGAGGUUUUGUUGAUCCUAAAGAUACUAGCAAGUAUGCAAGCUCCAGCGAUCCUUCAAUGGACUGGUGCAAGCAUCUCGGAGUUGGAAUAUACACUUUGAUGAGAUGAUCAAAGAUUUUAGGUUUGUACAAGGUUUAUGAGAAACUUGUAUUUCCAAAGAAGUGAGUGGGAGCACUAUAGAAUUUCUGAUAAGUAUAGGUGGUUGACAUAUUGUGGAUCAGAAGUAAUGUAGAAUUUCUGUAAAGCAUACAAGGUUGUUUGAAAGGAGUUUUCAAAGGAAUACCUGGAUUGCGCUACUUGAAUGUUGAGCAUCAAAGAUCUAUGAAGAUAGAUCGAAAGCGCUUAAUAGAAGUUUCAACAAGAUGCAUGCCUUGACAAGUUUUUUGAAGGAGUUCAAAAUAGAUCAGCAAAGAAGGAGUUCUUGGUUGCGUUGUGAGGUGUGAAUUUGAGUAAGACUCAAAACCCGACCCCGGCAGAAUAAAUAGAAUAGACGAAGGUCGUCUUCUAUGCCUUGGCUGUAGAAUCUGAAGUAUGCCAUGCUGGGUACCGCACCUGAUGUGUGCCUUGACUCAAAGUCUGUUGAGAGGUACAUAGAGUGAUCCAUGAUUGAAUCACUAGCAGCGGUCAAAAUUUAUCCUUAGUAACUGAUGGACUAAGGAAUUUUUCUCGAUUAUGGAGGUGGUUAAAGAAUUCAUCGUAAAGGGUUACGUCGAUGCAAGCUUUGACACUAAUCCGAAUAACUAUGAGUAGUGAAACAGAUUCGUAUAGUAGAGUAGAUAUUUGGAGCAUUUCCGAAUAGCACGUAGUAGCGGCAUCUAUAAGAUGACAUAAAGAUUUGUAAAGAACGCACAGAUCUUAAAGUUUCAGAACCGUUGACUAAAACCUCUCUCACGAGCAAGACGUGAUCAGACCCCAGAACUAUAUGGGUGUUGGAUUCGUUGAAAUCACAUGGUGAUGUGAACUAGAUUAUUGACUCUAGUGCAAGUGGGAGACUAUUGGAAAUAUGCCCUAGAGGCAAUAAUAAAUUAGUUAUUAUUGUAUUUCUUAGUUCAUGAUAAUCGUUUAUUAUCCAUGCUAUAAUUGUAUUGAUUGGAAACACAGUGCAUGUGUGGAUACAUAGACAAAACACUGUCCCUAGUAAGCCUCUAGUUGACUAGCUCGUUGAUCAAAGAUGGUCGAGGUUUCCUGACCAUAGGCAAGUGUUGUCACUUGAUAACGGGAUCACAUCAUUAGGAGAAUCAUGUGAUGGACAAGACCCAAACUAAUAGACGUAGCAUGUUGAUCGUGUCUUUUUGUUGCUACUGUUUUCUGUGUGUCAAGUAUUUGUUCCUAUGACCAUGAGAUCAUAUAACUCACUGACACCGGAGGAAUGCUUUGUGUGUAUCAAACGUCGCAACGUGACUGGGUGACUAUAAAGAUGCUCUACAGGUAUCUCCGAAGGUGUUCGUUGAGUUACUAUGGAUCGAGACUGGGAUUUGUCACUCCGUGUGACGGAGAGAUAUCUCGGGGCCCACUCGGUAAUACAACAUCACACACAAGCCUUGCAAGCAAUGUGACUUAGUGUAAGUUGCGGGAUCUUGUAUUACGGAAUGAGUAAAGAGACUUGCCGGUAAACGAGAUUGAAAUAGGUAUGCGGAUACUGACGAUCGAAUCUCGGGCAAGUAACAUACCGAAGGACGAAGGGAAUGACAUACGGGAUUAUAUGAAUCCUUGGCACUGAGGUUCAAACGAUAAGAUCUUCGUAGAAUAUGUAGGAUCCAAUAUGGGCAUCCAGGUCCCGCUAUUGGAUAUUGACCGAGGAGUCACUCAGGUCAUGUCUACAUAGUACUCGAACCCGCAGGGUCUGCACACUUAAGGUUCGACGUUGUUUUAUGCGUAUUUGAGUUAUAUGGUUGGUUACCGAAUGUUGUUCGGAGUCCCGGAUGAGAUCACGGACGUCACGAGGGUUUCCGGAAUGGUCCGGAAACGAAGAUUGAUAUAUAGGAUGACCUCAUUUGAUUACCGGAAGGUUUUCGGAGUUACCGGGAAUGUACUGGGAAUGACGAAUGGGUUCCGGGUGUUCACCGGGGGGGGCAACCCACCCCGGGGAAGCCCAUAGGCCUUGGGGGUGGCGCACCAGCCCUUAGUGGGCUGGUGGGACAGCCCAAGAAGGCCCUAUGCGCCAUAGGAAGAAAAUCAAAGAGGAAAAGGAAAAAAAAGGAGGAGGUGGGAAAAAGGGGAAGGACUCCUCCUUCCAAACCUAGUUGGAUUAGGUUUGGAAGGGGAGGGCUCCCCCCCUUGGCUCGGCCGACCCCCUUGGGGCUCCUUGAGCCCCAAGGCAAGGCUCCCCCUCUCCCACCUAUAUAUACGGAGGUUUUAGGGCUGAUUUGAGACAACUUUUGCCACGGCAGCCCGACCUCAUACCUCCACGGUUUUACCUCGAGAUCGCGUUUCUACGGAGCUCGGGUGGAGCCCUGCUGAGAUUAGAUCACCACCAACCUCCGGAGCGCCGUCACGCUGCCGGAGAACUCAUCUACCUCUCCGUCUCUCUAGCUGGAUCAAGAAGGCCGAGAUCAUCGUCGAGCUGUACGUGUGCUGAACGCGGAGGUGCCGUCCGGUCGGCACUAGAUCGGAGCGGAUCGUGGGACGGAUCACGGGACGGUUCGUGGGACGGUUCGCGGGGCGGAUCGAGGGACGUGAGGAUGUUCCACUACAUCAAUCGCGUUUCUUAACGCUUCUGCUGUGCGAUCUACAAGGGUACGUGGAUCGGAAAUCCCCUCUUGUAGAUGGACAUCACCAUGAUAGGUCUUCGUGCGCGUAGGAAAUUUUUUGUUUCCCAUGCGAUGUUCCCCAACAAGAGUAGCUCGUGCAAUGCUCUAUAAUUAUAGUGAUUUGUGGGUUUUAGUUUGGGAGUAAUUAUGUGGGAGUUUAUUUGAUUUAUAUGCAAUUUGAGCCCAAAUUAACUUUUUAGUUUGCAUAUGUGUAGGUGUGGUUUACUUAGUGUCUUCUCGUUCCCAUCCUAACCACUGUCGAUCGCCAGCACCAUCUCGUCGCCGGCACUACCUUGGUGAUCCUCUUCUUCUUAUCCUUUUUAUUCCAAAAAAUCUUAUUUGUAUGAUUCAGAUAGUUUUCUUACCUAUAUGAUUAUUUGUUAUACGUGUGUAUGAACUCUAUGUGUGAACUUGUAUUAAUUUGUUUCGGUCUUGUGUAAUAAAUAUGAAUUGGCAAUGGAUGUACAAUGACCGACGCUCUCCCCAGUUCAUUGAUGGCUUGCAGAGUUUCUCUGUGCGACUUAGGCAAACCAGUUGGAUGGUUUUAUGCCUUGUCCAUGUGUUGUGUGUAAGAAUGAUAAAACUUACUCUAAGUCAAGAGUCAUUCACGUCCACCUGUUUACGUCCGGUUUCAUGUCCGGCUAUAACUGUUGGACCAAGCACGGAGAAAGAAGGGGUUCCAAUGGAAGAGAAUGAAGAAGAAGAGGACUAUCCUUUGUACCUAAGCCAUUAGUUGAUCAUAUACUUCAUAUGGUCAAGGAUUUAAAACUAAUUUUUGGAAACGGUCAUGGCGGAUAAUCUAUUCCGAAUGACGCUGACGGACACACACCUAUGUGGAAUAAGAAAUUUAUAUUUUGGGACCAACCUUAUUGGAAAGUCAUAAAGGUCCGCUCUACAAUCGACACGAUGCACGUGACGAAGAAUCAUUGUGUGAACCUGCUAGGAUUCUUGGGUGUGUAUGGGAGGAUAAAAGAUACACCGAAGGCACGGGAGGACCAGCAACGUAAGCCCAAAAAAGACGGCAUGCAUUCAAAACAGUAUGAAGGUCCUGCCAGCUACGCUCUUACCAAAUAAGAGAAAGAAAUUUUCUUUGAAUCUGUGCUCAGUAUGAAGGUCCCGUUUGGCCCUGAAAUUAAAAAGCGCUACAAAUGAAUUCUGAAAUGGCUGAAACUUGGCAUGGUAUCAUCAUUUCACCCGCAUGGCAUGGGAUAAAAAUUUGGGAGGGUUACGGCAAAAACUGGAUGCACUUCGUGUAUAAAAUGGACAAUCUUUCCCGAAGUAUCACGGCUUCACACAAAUACUCAUCUCUUACAAAGGCAUUUAAUUUUUCAACUUAUUUCAACUCCAUACUUUUUGUGCGAUCAAUAUGCAUCAUUCAAAACCACUUCAUCAAUUUUCAACCGUUUCUCACCUCAUUUGAUAUUUUUCAUGCAUUUAAUGUUUUUUUAAUCUAAAUGACCCUGGAAUUGAAAAACGCUACAAAUGAACUGUGAAAAGGCUGAAACUUGACAUGGUAUCAUCAUUUCACCCACAUAGCAUGGGCUAAAAAGUUGGGAGGGUUACGGCAAAAACUGGAUGCAUUUAGUGUACAAAAUGGACAAUCUCUUUCGAAGUAUCACAAUUUCGAGCGAAUACUCAUCUCUUACAAAGGCAUUUCACUUUUUUAACUUAUUUCAACUCCAGAAUUUUUGUGCGCUCAACAUGCAUCAUUCAAAGCCACGUCGUCAAUUUUCAACCCUUUCUCACCUCAUUUGCUAUUUUCAUGGAUUUAAUGUUUUUUGAGCUAAAUGACCCUGAAGUUGAAAAGCGCUACAAAUGAACUCUGAAAAGGCUGAAACUUGGUAUGGUAUCAUAAUUUCACCCACAUAGCAUAUGCUAAAAAGUUGGGAGGGUUAUGACAAAAUGGACAAUCUUUUUCGAAAUAUCACAGUUUCGGACGAAUACUCAUCUCAUACAAAGGCAUUUUAUUUUAUUUAGUUAUUUCAACUCCGAACUUUUUGUGCGCUCAAUAUGCAUCAUUCAAAGCCACAUCAUCAAUUUUCAACCCUUUCUCACCUCAUUUUCUAUUUUUCAUGGAUUUAAUGUUUCUUUGAGCUAAAUGACCCUGAAAUAGAAAAGCGCUACAAAUGAACUCUGAAAAGGCUGAAACUUGGCAUGGUAUCAUCAUUUCACCCACAUAGCAAGUUUUAAAAGGUUGGUAGUGUUGCGGCAAAAACUGAAUGCACUUCGUGUACAAAAUGGACAAUCUCUUUCGAAGUAUCACUGUUUCGGAUGAAUACUCAUCUCUUACAAAGGCAUUUCAUUUUUUAAACUUAUUUCAACUCCAGACUUUUUGUGCGCUCAAUAUGCAUCAUUCAAAGACAUGUCAUCAAUUUUCAACCAUUUCUCACCUCAUUUGCUAUUUUUCAUGGAUUUAAUGUUUUUUAGCUAAAUGACCCUGAAAUUAAAAAACGCUACAAAUGAACUCUGAAAAGGCUGAAACUUGGCAUGGUAUCAUCAUUUCACCCACAUAGCAUGUGCUAAAAAGUUGGGAGUGUUACGGCAAAAAUUGUAUGCACUUCGUGUACAAAAUGGACAGUCUCUUUCGAAGUAUUACAGUUUCGAACGAACACCCAUCUCUUACAAAGGUAUUUCAUUUUUUUAAUAACCUAAAAAUUACCAAAUUUAAUAUAAUGAUAAAACACACUAAUAUUAAACAUCAGAAAAAAGAAUGACUAAAAAUAUAUAUUUUUAAUGCAAAGUUAUUCACAAACUAGUGAUUCACACAAAUUUCAAAAUAAAUAAAUUUAAACUAUGUAAAUUUUAAAACUACUAGCACUAACAGAAAUUUUGUCGUUUUUUGACCUAAACCAAAAAGAUUCAUCCAAAAACUAUAAAUAGUCUAACAGUUAUUCCAAAUUUAAAAACAAUAACUCUCAUGUUUAGAAAAACCAAAACAAUAAAAAAGAAAAAACAGACCUUUAGUCCCGGCUGGAGCCACCCACCGGGACUAAAGCUCCCUUCCGUGCGGAAUUUUGGGCAGCCAAAAAUAGACCUUUAGUCCCGGUUGGUGGCUACAACCGGGACUAAAGGUGCCUGUCAGUCGGCCAAGUGCCCUACCUUUAGUCUCGGUUGGAGCCACCAACCGGRACUAAAGACCCUUUAGUCCAGGUUCCUGGUUUGAACCGGGACUAAAGACCCUUUAGUCCAGGUUCGUGGUUUGAACCGGGACAAAAGGGAUCUACAUAUAACUCCGCGCUCGUUUUUCGGCACCAAUCUCUCCCAUUCGAUUCGCCGACACCGAUCGUGCCUUGUCCCGACGCCGCCAGGCUGUCGGAGCUCACCGUCGCCCCUGAAGCCAUCCUCGUCGUCGCCGCCCCGGACAUCGGUCGCCUGCGCCUCCUCCACGAGCCCCUUCUGCGCCCCAUCCCUCCUCGAUCCCACGGUGAGCUCCGCUGGCCUCUCCUUCCCUCCUCAAUCUAAAUGACCCGGCCCCUCGCCGUGCGCGAGUGUGGCGGCGCCAUGGCCACCAGCGUGCCCGAGCGCGGUGGCGCGAUGGCCGCCAGCCUACCCGAGCUCCAUGGCCGCCGGCCUGCCCAAUUUCAUGGUUUCGUGAAAAAAAAUCAGGAAUUAUAUGGGUGUUCCUUAACAACAAUUGAUGGCAAUGAGUAAGGGAAUGUUGCAUGAACACAAACACAACACUUCUUUGAUCCUUAUGCUUACUUUAGUGAAUUUGAGGAACUUGUUUGAUGUGAUGGCUAGUGAGAUUGAUGAAUUUUAUGAUAUGUUAGCAAGCAGUUUGUCUCAGUUUGGCACUUUUCUACUCUGAUAUGAACCUUGCUUCUUAACUAAAUCGGGAAUAGAAGAAACAUAGGACUUUGAGUUUGUUUGAUUACAUGGCAUGAAAAACAAAGGAUUUUUUCCAAGAGGUUAGAGUGGAUGCUAGAUUCUAUAUGGAAUAUAGUACACAUGGUUAUAUGUUUUCUAUGGAAUGAGAAUAUAUAUAUAUAUAUAUAUAUAUAUAUAUAGUAGGAAAAAUACAUCCUACCACCCACGGGUAGUUACCCCACAUGUUCAAUAUACUACCAUGCGGGAGUAUAUAUACUAAUUUAUCAUUUUAAUUAUGUUUAUAUACUGUAUACAAGAUUUUUCAAAGUGAGUUACAUGAAAAAAUUACAAGUUGACCCAUAGUGUUUAUUAUAUUUGUGAAAUACAUAUAUAUUUGUAUGUAAAAAAGAGCAUACACAAAAUAUGAUACAUAGUACCAAAAAAACAGUAUAUAUACUACCUAAACAUGAUUAUAUACUACAUACUACGCAUACAUACUCUCCAAUUUAAUACAUACUCCAUACAACAUACAAAACGCAAGUGGUGGUAACUACCACCGGUGGUAGAUAAAAUUUGUCAUAAGGAAGCCAUGCAAUGUACUUGGUUGUAUAUUUUCUAUGGAAUGCGAAUAUCAAAGAUGUUCAAUUCUGUUUAUAGAUGUUUUGAAAUUCUGUUUAUAGAUGUACAAUUCUUUAGAUAUAAUGUCACGGUUGUUGUUGACGCAUUUACAAACAUGUUCCAUGGAUUAUAAGUUAAAUUACCACAUAAAAACAGGAAAUGUCUGACGAUGAUUAUUGGGAGUGUGAAUAUUGCGACGAGUAUCGGGGUGUGUGCGAGAGGCCUCACGUGCGAGACCACGGGUUCUUCAGCAUCAAGCUUGACGAGACCUUUGAAGUUUCUGUGAUACGCAACGAUGACAAGUGUUUUUCGUAAUUAAGCAUGACUUAUGUUUCUUUGCUUCAACAUGUAAUUUUUGUUUUAUACAAUUCGACUAGUUCCUCUCUUGUCAUGCAAGAAGGUAUGUGUUGGAGAGGCUCGGUUUCGAAGACCAUGAGAGUAUGGAGAUGAGGAGAGCUAACAUGAUGGCUAUACAUGGUCACACAUUUCUGAUCAAAGUAAUGAAUGCCGUUUAUAACACCGAAAUAGGGUGCUCAAAUUGGGAAGAUCUUUGCAAGGCAUAUGGAUUUCAGGAGGGUAUGGAAAUGACCUUCGAUCUUUGUCUUGAAGAUAAUAUGCGAGGUAACAUCGACAUUUGGGUGGAUGUUGAUAUGCUUCAUGUUUUACCUCCAUGUGAGUUUGUCAACCAUAUUUGUCAAGUAAUAUCCAUUCUAUAUUUAGAAAUAGUUGGUGUUCAUCCAUAUACUAAAUUUGAUAAAUUAUAAUUUACAACUUAUUUCGGUGAUUCGAGUGAAUUACGGAAAUUAGUUGACACGACACACUACACUUAUGGAUCACAUCUAACUUGGGAGGAGAUGGAUGUUCUUAUCCACUUUCUUGUUGGUGUCCUGGUUGGUAGGGAGAACUUCCCGUAUAAUUUGGUAACUGGCCUAAAUUAUACAUUUUACAUGCCACUAGUUCAUAGGUUGAGGGCGGAUGACAUUCGCCGAAAUAUCUUGGUAAGAGUUUGCUAAUUAAGUACACUCUACGUACUAUUGCAUAAAUGGUGUUAAUUACAUUGCUAACUAGGCUAUUAUUAUGUUUUUUAACAGCAACUGCCAAAUGAUGUAGUGCAUAUGUUGACGCACAACAAAGGUCAUAUGACAAUUAAAAGCCCGCUGAGUGCUGAGUUCGAUGCUCCAUACUCGACUGCCCGCAAACCAAAAAGGCUCCAAACUGAAGCUUGGAGAGAAAUAAAGAAGGAUCGCAAGCUACAAGUUGAAGACCGGUGGAUCUCUAUGCUUCAUCACGGAGACAUAGGUGUUAUUCUGUUUUAUGACAUUAUACCGAGGAGCGAGGACUAGGUCUUAUGAGAGACAUAGACUGGUUUAUAUUAACUCGACAUGAUCAAUUAGAAUGAUGAUUAUUAUCAUGUUUUCUGCUUUAUGAGAUUUUAACUUGGUAUAUGAUUAAGAUGAUGAUGAGUUGUUAGAUGAGUAUGUAAGAUGAUGAUGAGUUAUAUGACAUAAUAUUUGAUUAAAGUGGAUGGAUGCCCGUGAUCGAUAUAUGAAACCCCUUAACCCCUCCUUUCAGAAGAAAAAAAACACAGCGUAAGGCUGCCUUUUAGUCCCGGUUGGUGUCACCAACCGGGACUAAAGGUCCCCACCCCUGGCGCGCCCUGCCAGCCACAUGGAGGGGCAUUAGUCCUGGGUCGUGGCCAACCAGGACUAAAGGGGGUGGGCCUUUAGUCCCAAGUUAUUAGUCCCGGUUGGCGACCUGGGACUAAAGGCCCUUACCAACCGUGACUAAUGUCCGUUUCUGCACUAGUGCACCUCGAAGUUAUUCUUUUGAUCAAUCUUUUGAGCUAUUCCUAUAAGUGUCACAAACAGCCCUAGAGUUCGUACUAGAAUAACAUCCAUGAUACAUAUCAACCAACCCUAGUGUCACCAAGAUACUCCAAUGUCACCUCAAGUAUCUGUGCGUAAAUUAUGCAACAUGCAUCAAACAAGUUUAGAUCUAUCAUAUUCAAUCCAACACAAAGAAGUUCAAGGAGCACGCCAAGAUUUCUAUCGAAGAACGUAGUAUGAAAACGUGCAAUCAACUCAUAUGCAUAGAUCCCCAAGUUCACUGAAAUCCACAAGUUGAUGCCAUAACAUAUAUCAAGUAAAUCACUUGAAUACUCGAAUGUCACUACGGGUAUCCGCAUGCAAGACAUACAUCAAAUGUUCUCAAACCAAAAUAUUCAAUCCAACAUAACGAGAUCUUAAAGUGAAAGAUACAAUUCAUCACAAGGUAGCAAAGAAAUAACAUAAUAUGAUCCAACUAGAUUAACAAGGCUCGUGAUACAUCAAGAUCGUGCCAUCUAAAAAACAUGAGAGAGAGAGAGAGAGAUUCAACACAUAGCUACUGGUACAUACCUCAGCCCCGAGGAUGAACUACUCCCUCCUCGUCAUGGCCUCCGCCGCGAUGAUGAAUAUGGCCACCGGAGAUUAUUUCCCCUCUCCGACAGGGUACUAGAAACGCUCCAGAAAGGGUAUUUGUCGAUACAAAAAGUUGCAGCAGCAGAGCAGAAGUUCUCUCUUUAUUUCUCGGGUUUCUAGUAUAUAUAGGAUUUUUCAGCGUUGGAAUCACGCCAAACGGAGCCACAUGGGUCCCACAAGCCAUCAGGGCGUGGCCUAGGGGGCGCCCUGUUGGCUUGUGGCCAUAGGUGGCUCCCCUCUGGUGGUUCUUCGCUCCAAUAUUGCUUAUUUCCUCCAAAAGAAUAUAAAAAAGUUUCGUUCGAUUCCGAGAACUUUCAUUUUCUGCACAAAAACAACACCAUGGUAAUUGUGCUGAAAAUAGCGUCAGUCCGGGUUAAUUCUAAAUAAGUCAUAUAAAGUGCGUUAAAACCAUAUAAAAGUAUUAUAAACAUAGGCAAACAUGACAUGAAUACUUCAUAAAUUAUCGAUACGUUAGAGACGUAUCAGCAUCCCCAGUCUUAAUUCCUACUCGUCCUCGAGUGGGUAAAUGAUAAAAGAAAUAAUUUAUGAAGUGGGAAUGCUUGCAUGGUAUAUAAGUUUGAUCAAUGAUAAUUCAAAUCACUUUUUCUAGCAUCAUAACCAACAACCUUUCCAUAAAAAUCAUCAUGGUUAAGUAGCAUCAAUUCACAUGUCAUGGUUCAAACAAUGCAUUCUCUUAAAACUUAACAUUAUAUGUUCUUAGUGAUCAAACAAUUUCAAUGCAUCAUCAAGUCUAAGUGAGAGCUCCACAUACUCAAUUAUCAUAAAGUCUUUUAUGAUUGCUAAUACUCAAAGCAUAUUUUUAGAACAAAUAACAUACAUAGAAAGAUAAGGGUUUAAUGUUUCGCCUCCCAACAUAUUUAUCAUAAAGAUAAUUGUCAACAAUAAUGAAUCAUGAUCAAAUAUAUUUGAGUGAAUAUAUAUGUUUGGAUCUUUCCCACCUCAUGGUGCUUACCAACUAAUAGAACGAGGUUGGAACAAUAAGUUGACUCAACAUGAAAAGUAAGUAACAUGAACGCAAAUAGAUUAUCCCUUCACAAAGGGAACCAGGGAUUUGCAGAGAUGCGAGAGAUCAUUGUUUUAAAACAAAGAUGAAUAUGUAAUUUUGGGUGGUGUGCCUUUCAUGUCAAUGUCACAGCAGAGUUUUCAAUAUCUUCCAUGCUAAUCACAUUACUCGCGGUUCCCAAACAGAAUUGAACUUUUACUCCCCCUCCACCAUUCAAUCACAUUCCAUGGCUAGCCGUAUCCACGGGUGCCAUCUAAACAAUCAACUUUCUAAUGAGAGUUCUUGAUUACUUAUUUUGGGCCGUUUGUAUUUCUGUCCCCUAACUCAGACCACCUACUCAGAUUUGCCCCUAUUUUUUAGCUAUGCUCAAAUUUGCCCCUCUCCGUCAAGUCCCCUAAUAGAAAUGCCCAUAUGUGUCGUUACCGUCCAGUCAACACGCUUUGACCAUCCCGGUGAACAGUGACUCGAUGAACAGUAAUUUCGAAAAAAAAAAUAGCAACAAAGAACUGACAUUUUUAGCUAAUUUUUUUAAUAUUGCAUUUUAUUUAUGCUUUUUGAAAAAUAUUGCACAAAAUUCAGAAUUUUCAAAAAAUAAUACGGCCUCGGCUUAGGCGUGGCCGAUUGGAACCUAUCGGCCUAGCCAAGACCAAUAAGUCCUAAUCGGCCUUGGUUAGGCCGAUAGGCCUCUCAGCCUGGCUUCCGGGAACUUAUCGGCCUUGGCGAAGCCAAUAAGCUCCUGUCGGACUUGGCUAGGCCAGUAAGUCCCUAUCAGCCUUGGCUUAGGCCAAUAAGGACUAAUUGGUGUUGGCUAGGCCAAUAGGUGCAUGGGAUUUAUUUAUUUUUGCAUGCUAGCUAUUUUUCAGGCUUCAUUUCUCGCCCCAUUUCCCGUCAAUUUUUAGUAAGAACUUUUAAAAGACUUAUACUUAGCAACAAAGAGAAUAGUACACAGUACAGGUUAGGACACGAAAUUUCCAGCAACUUUUACUUUUAUGCUUACGUUUGUACAACCGUCUUAGCACCAACACUAGUUUUUUUUUACUUUGUAACCCUGAGCUAGACCAUUAUAAAUUGGGUUAGAAAUUGAUAGGCUCCAGCCCCAGUGCGCCUUGCAUGCUCUUACAAGAACGGCCGUCGUGGAAACUGCAAGAGAAAGACAAAUAUGCGGCGCUGGCCUCUCGAGAUGUUGCAACAAGGCUGCAUGGACAGCUGCUGCAGACUACAGGCCAGUUGCAUGUCAACUUUUUAAAGGUCUUUUUUAUUUUCAUAUAGUAUAUAGUAAAAGCGAACCGUUUGACCAAAGAUCUUGCUUGCCUCUCCCUUGAUGCAUGGCUAGGCCAUAGACGUGAAACAAAUCAAACGCUAGAAACACGAGAGACAAACGACAAGAUGCAGCAGCCUGCAGGCAUGCGCGUCAACCUCCUUUGAUGGCUACCACAAACAUGGAGCUCGGGCUAGUUGUUGCUUGGUGAUACAUACUCGUGGGUUGGUGGCACCUGACCCGAGUCUUUUCUCUACUUCCGAUCCACGGACCUGCCUAGGGGGCUAGAGCUCAGCAAGACGACAUCGUCUUCUUUAACGAAAACCACAAACACAACAAGACACGUUAUAUUGUACGAAUACAUCACUGAUUUUGUAAGGUAGCUGGAGAGCUAGAGUAGAUAAAGCAUGGAAAUUGCAAGAAGAGAGAGAGGGAGAGAGAGAAGAGAGAAGAUAGAGAGAGAGAGAGAGAGGACUAGAAGUAAGUUGUGNNNNNNNNNNNNNNNNNNNNNNNNNNNNNNNNNNNNNNNNNNNNNNNNNNNNNNNNNNNNNNNNNNNNNNNNNNNNNNNNNNNNNNNNNNNNNNNNNNNNUAUCUAUAAUUUUUGAUGGUUUCACGCUGUUAUCUUGUCUUCUUUGGUUGUUUUAUGUACCUUUUAUAUCUUUUUUGGGACUAACUUAUUGAUUCAGUGCCAAGAGCCAAUUCCUGUUUUUUCCGUGUUUUUGACUCUUUUUAGAUCUGAUUUUGAAGGGAGUUCAAACGGAAUAAAAACCCCGAAAUGAUUUUUUCCCAAACGGAAGAAGAUCAGGGGGCCUCUGGGCCAAGCCAGGUGGGCUCCAGGGAGCCCACAAGCUCCCACCACGCCACCAGGGGGGAGGCGGCGGUGGGCAGGCUUGUGGCCUCCCUGGCCGCCCCCUGACCUAGGUCUUUGGCCUAUAAAUUCCCAAAUAUUCCACAAAAAAUCAGGGGAGCCUCGAAAAUACUUUUCCGCCGCCGCAAGCUUCCGUUUCCGCGAGAUCUCAUCUGGAGACCCUUCCCGGCGCCCUGCCGGAGGGGACUUUGGAGUUGGAGGGUUUCUUCAUCAUCAUCAUCGCCCCUCCAAUGACUCGUGAGUAGUUCACUUCAGACCUACGGGUCCGUAGUUAGUAGCUAGAUGGCUUCUUCUCUCUCUUGGAUCUUCAAUACAAAGUUCUCCAUGAUCUUCAUGGAGAUCUAUCCGAUGUAAUCUUCUUUGGCGGUGUGUUUCUCGAGAUCCGAUGAAUUGUGGAUUUGUGAUCAGAUUAUCUGUGAUAUAUAUUUGAGUAUUUGCUGAUUUCUUAUAUGCAUGAUUUGAUAUCCUUGUAAGUCUCUCCGAGUCUUGGGUUUUGUUUGGCCAACUAGAUCUAUGAUUCUUGCAAUGGGAGAAGUGCUUAGUUUUGGGUUCUGCCAUGUGGUGACCUUUCCCAGUGACAGUAUGGGCAGCAAUGCACACAUCAAGUAGUUGCCAUCAAGGGUAAAAAGAUGGGGUUUUUAUCAUUGGUUUGAGAUUAUCCCUCUACAUCAUGUCAUCUUGCUUAAGGCGUUACUCUGUUCUUAUGGACUUAAUACACUAGAUGCAUGCUGGAUAGCGGUCGACAUGUGGAGUAAUAGUAGUAGAUGCAGACAGUAUCGGUCUACUUGUUUUGGACGUGAUGCCUAUAGAAAUAAUCAUUGCAUAGAUAUUGUCACGACUUUGCGUGGUUCUAUCAAUUGCUCGACAAUAAUUUGUUCACCCACCGUCUACUUGCUUUCAUGAGAGAAGCCACUAGUAAACACUACGGCCCCCGGGUCUAUUCACAUCCAUCGUUUACAUCUCCGCUUUUACUUUGCUUUGUUACUUUUUUGCUUUCAGUUCUCACUUGGCAAACAAUCUAUAAGGGAUUGACAACCCCUUCAUAGCGUUGGGAGCAAGCUUUUGUGUUUGUGCAGGAUCUUGAGAUACUCCUCCACUGUAUUGAUACCUCGGUUCUCAAACUGAGGGAAAUACUUACCACCGCUACGCUACAUCACCCUUUCCGCUUCGAGGGAACACCAACGCAAGGCUCCAAGACCACGGGGGAAAUCCUUUGCAUACUUGCCUAGGAAGUCCCUUAAGGCGUAGCCACAGCAGAAAGAUCAAGCCAAGUAUUCUCCCGUCGACGUGCCUAUUUCUGGCGUCGUUGGAAGGUCUUUUGUUGCAGUAGCAGAAGAAUUUCUGGCGUCGUUUCCGGGGAGGAGGAUCGCUUGCCGAGGAUAACAAGACAAGAGUAAUCUCCCGACAACACGCCUAUUUCUGGCGUCGUUGCCGGGGAGGAGAAAUCAAGAUCUAUCCAAGUAGGUCUCACAAACUCUUCUCUUGCAUUUACUUUUGUUGCCAGUUGCCUCUCGUUUUCCUCUCCCCCACUUCACAUUGUCCGUUUUCUUUUGCCUUUCUCCUUUGCCUUUUCCCGUUCGCCCUUCUUCCGCUUGCUUUCUGUUUGCUUGUGUUACCAUGUGCCUUCUUUUAGCUUGCAUCUUUGCUUGCUGAAAAUCCAUUGAUAUGGAUCCUCAUCCACUAGCUAGUCUCUUUAAGAGACCCACUAUUGUUGAACGAAUUGCUUGUGAGUUGAGGACAAUUGAAUAUUUCUAUGGAGUUUUGCUUAAGAUGCAUGAAUCUGAAAAUUGUGAGGAAGAAAUUCAUGAAGUGAUUCACGAGGGCUCCUUGGAUGAAAAGCAUGAUUGCAAUGGUUUCACUAUAAAUCCUAUUAGUGAAAAUCAUGCUAAAAAUAUGCAAAACCCUAAGCUUGGGGAUGCUAGUUUUGCUUUGACCACUACUUGUUGCAAUAAUCAUGAUUGGGGUGAUGAUCUUUCUUAUGAUCUUGAAAAUUUGUUCAAACCUGAUGAUGAAUAUGUUAUUUGUAACAAUACUGAAAGUGGGAUUGGAGAAGUCAUGACUUUAGUUGAUGACAAUCCCACUAUUUUUGAAGAGCGUCAACUUUGCACGCAUGUGGAUCAUGAAAAUAAUAUCCUAUGGUAUAGCUAUAUUGUUGAAUUUGAAUAUGAUCCCACAUGUAAUUGCUAUGAGAGAGGAAAAUAUUGUGGUAGAAACCUUCAUGUUACCAAAUCACCUCUCGUGAUGUUGAGAUUGCUCUUGUCUUUUUCUUCUUCCUUGCAUAUGGCAGCUAUUGGUUGUCUUGACAAUUAAUUUUCCUAUAAAAUGCCUAUGCAUAGGAAGUAUGUUAGACUUAGAUGUGAUUUUCACAUGCUUUAGGAUGCUCUCGUUAUGCUAUAAUUCUUGUCUUUUGUGAGAGCAUCAUCGAAUGCCUAGCUAAGGGCGUUAAACGAAAGCGCUUGUUGGGAGGCAACCCAACGAAUUUAUCCUUUUUCUUUCUGUUUUGUGUUUUCCCACACUUUCAUAAUUCUGUUAUGAUUGUGUUUUUGUGUUUCUUUUUGCGUUUGUGCCAAGCAAAACCGUUAUGAUUAGUCUUGGGGAUGAUCGUUUGGUCAUGCUGGAAAAGACAGAAACUUUCUGCUCAGGAAAAGAAUUUUCAUUUUCUUUUCUGUAAUAGCUUUUGAGUUGAUUCUUUUUUCUGCGUAUUGCUAUGCUAAUUCUUCAGACUGUCGUAAUUUUUCAGAAUUUUUGAAGUACCAGAGGUAUACGAAAUAUACAGAUUGCUACAGACUGGUCUGCUGUUAAUAGAUUCUGUUUUUGUUGUGUUGGUUGCUUAUUUUGAUGAAACUAUGGAUAGUAUCAGGGGGUAUUAGCCAUGGAAGAUUGAAAGUAUAGUAACCCAACAUCAGGACAAGUAGAAUUUAAGUUUGCUACAGUACCUAAGGAAGUGGUGGUUUGCUUUCUUGUACUAAUGUUAUCACGAGUUUCUGUUUAAGUUUCGUGUUGUGAAGUUUUCAAGUUUUGGGUGAAGUUCUUAUGGACAAAAGGAUAAAGAGUGGCAAGAUAUCAAGCUUGGGGAUGCCCAAGGCACCCCAAGAGAUUCAAGGAUGCCGUAAAAGCCUAAGCUUGGGGAUGCCCCGGGAAGGCAUCCCCUCUCUCGUCUUCAAUCCAUCGGUAACGUUACUUGGGGCUAUAUUUUUAUUCACCACAUGUUAUGUGUUUUUGCUUGGAGCGUCUUGUAUCGUAGGAGUCUUUUAUUUUUGUUGUGUGACAAUCAUGCUUGCUGCACACCUAGAGAGAGAGACAUACACACACCGUGAUUUUGUCGAGCUUCACUUAUAUCUUUUGGUAGACAAUUCAGCUCACAUGUGCUUCACUUAUAUCUUUUGAGCUAGAUACUUUUGCUCUAUUUGCUUCACUUAUAUCUUUUAGAGCACAUCGGUGCGUGGCUUGGUAGUUGAUAUAUGCUUUGAAAGUAGUCUCAAAAGGGGUAGAUAUCCAACGGGAUACGAAAACUUCCACCUUCAUGUGCAUUGAAUAGUUAGAGAAGUUUGAUUCAUCCCAAUUAGUUUUGAGUUGUGGUUAUGGUAAUAUUAAAGUCAUGCUAGUAAGGUGUUGUGGAUCUAGAAAUACUUGUGUUGAAGUUAGUGAUUCCCGUAGCAUGCACGUAUGGUGAACCGCUAUGUGAUGAAACCUGAGCAUGAUUAGUCUAUUCAUUGUCAUCCUUUGCGGGGCAGUCGGGAUCGCGCGAUGGUUCAUACCUACCAACCCUUCCCCUAGGAGUAUGCGUUGAAUGCUUUGUUUCGAUUACUAAUAAAACUUUUGCAACAAGUAUAUGAGUUCUUCAUGACUAAUGUUGAGUCCAUGGUUUAGAUGCACUUUCACCUUCCAUCAUCACUAUCUUCUUAGUGUCUAGCAACUUUCGCCGGUGCACAAAACCCACCAUUAGCCUCCCUCAAAACAACCACCAUACCUACCUACUAUGGCUUUUUAAAAGUCAUUCCGAGAUAUAUUGCCAUGCAACUACCACCAUGACAUGUGCCACCACGUCUACAUUGUCAUUGCAUGAUCGUAAGAUAGCUAGCAUGAUGUUUCCAUUAAUGUCUAUGCCAUGCUAGAUCAUUGCCACGGUACACUACCGAAGGCAUUCCAUAUAAAGUCAUUGUUACUCUAAGUUUUAAGUUGAAAGUGUGAUGAUCAUCAUUAAUGGAGCAUUGUCCCAUGUGAGGAAAUAAAAGAGGCCAAAGAAGCCCACCAAAAAAAGAGGCCAAAGAGCCCACCAAAAUGAAAAAAAUGAGAGAAAAAGAGAGAAGGGACAAUGCGACCACUUUUUCCACACUUGUGCAUAUUAAGCACCAGGAUCUUCAUGAUUGAGAGUCUCUCGUUUUGUCACCACCAUAUAGCUAGUGGGAAAUUUUCAUUAUAUAACUUGGCUUGUAUAUUCCUAUGAUAGGCUUCCUCAAAAUUGCCUUAGGUCUUCGUGAGCAAGCAAGUUGGAUGCACACCCACUAGUUUUCUUUAAGAGCUUUCACAUACUCGUAGCUCUAGUGCAUCAAUUGUAUGACAAUCCCUACUCAUUCACAUUAAUAUCUAUUGAUGAGCAUCUCCAGAGCUCAUUGAUAUGCCUAGUUAAUGUGACUAUCUUCUCCUUUUUGUCUUGCAACCUCCACUACAUUCCACACCAUCUAUAGUGCUAUAACCAUGGCUCACGCUCAUGUAUUGCGUGAGAGUUGAAAAGGUUUGAGAAAGUAAAGGUGUGAAAUAAUUACUUGGCCAAUACCGGGGUUGUGCAUGAUUUAAAUUUAUUGUGCAAUGAUGAUAGAGCAUAGCCAGACUACAUGCUUUUGUAGGGAUAACUUUCUUUUGGCCUUGUCAUUUUGAAAGUUCAUGAUUACUUUGCUAGUUUGCUUGAAUUAUUAUUGUUUCCACGUCAAUAGCAAACUAUUGUUUUGAAUCUAAUGUAUAUGAACAUUCACGUCACAUAAGAGGAAUUACAAAGGACACCUAUGCUAGGUAGCAUGAAAGCAUCAAAAAUUCAUUCUUAUCACUUCCCUACUCGAGGACGAGCAGGAGUUAAGCUUGGGGAUGCCUGAUACGUCUCAAACGUAUCUAUAAUUUUUGAUGGUUUCACGCUGUUAUCUUGUCUUCUUUGGUUGUUUUAUGUACCUUUUAUAUCUUUUUUGGGACUAAUUUAUUGAUUCAAUGCCAAGAGCCAAUUCCUGUUUUUUUCGUGUUUUUGACUCUUUUCAGAUCUGAUUUUGGAACGGAGUCCAAACAGAAUAAAAACCCCGAAAUGAUUUUUUCCCGAACGGAAGAAGAUCAGGGGGCCUCUGGGCCAAGCCAGGUGGGCUCCAGGGAGGCCACAAGCUCCCACCACGCCACCAGCGGGGAGGCGGCGGUGGGCAGGCUUGUGGCCUCCCUGGCCGCCCCAUGACCUAGGUCUUUCGCCUAUAAAUUCCCAAAUAUUCCGCAAAAAAUCAGGGGAGCCUCGAAAAUACUUUUCCACCUCCGCAAGCAUCCAUUUCCGCGAGAUCUCAUAUGGAGACCCUUCCCGGCGCCCUGCCGGAGGGGACUUUGGAGUUGGAGGGCUUCUUCAUCAUCAUCAUCGCCCCUCCAAUGACCCGUGAGUAGUUCACUUCAGACCUACGGGUCCGUAGUUAGUAGCUAGAUGGCUUCUUCUCUCUCUUGGAUCUUCAAUUCAAAGUUCUCCAUGAUCUUCAUGGAGAUCUAUUCGAUGUAAUCUUCUUUGGCAGUGUGUUUGUCGAGAUUCGAUGAAUUGUGGAUUUGUGAUCAGAUUAUCUAUGAUAUAUAUUUGAGUCUUUGCUGAUUUAUUAUAUGCAUGAUUUGAUAUCCUUGUAAGUCACUCUGAGUCUUGGGUUUUGUUUGGCCAACAAGAUCUAUGAUUCUUGUAAUGGGAGAAGUGCUUGGUUUUGGGUUCUGCCAUGUGGUGACCUUUCCCAGUGAUAGUAUGGGCAGCAAGGCACACAUCAAGUAGUUGCCAUCAAGGGUAAAAAGAUGGGGUUUUUAUCAUUGGUUUGAGAUUAUCCCUCUACAUCAUGUCAUCUUGCUUAAGGUGUUACUUUGUUCUUAUGGACUUAAUACACUAGAUGCAUGCUGGAUAGCGGUCGACGUGUGGAGUAAUAGUAGUAGAUGCAGACAGUCAGUCUACUUGUUUUGGACGUGAUGCCUAUAGAAAUAAUCAUUGCAUAGAUAUCGUCACGACUUUGCGCGGUUCUAUCAAUUGCUCGACAUUAAUUUGUUCACCCACCCUCUACUUGCUUUCUUGAGAGAAGCCACUAGUAAACACUACGGCCCCCGGGUCUAUUCACAUCCAUCGUUUACAUCUCCCUUUUACUUUGCUUUGUUACUUUGUUGCUUUCAGUUCUCACUUGGCAAACAAUCUAUAAGGGAUUGUCAACCCCUUCAUAGCGUUGGGAGCAAGCUUUUGUGUGUUGGAAUUAUGCCCUAGAGGCAAUAAUAAAUAUGGUUAUUAUUAUAAUUCCUGUAUCAAGAUAAUAGUUUAUUAUCCAUGCUAUAAUUGUAUUGAAUGAAGACUCAUUUACAUGUGUGGAUACAUAGACAAAACACCGUCUCUAGCAUGCCUCUAGUUGGCUAGCCAGUUGAUCAAUGAUAGUCAGUGUCUUCUAAUUAUGAACAAGGUGUUGUUGCUUGAUAACUGGAUCACGUCAUUGGGAGAAUCACGUGAUGGACUAGACCCAAACUAAUAUACGUAGCAUGUUGAUCGUGUCAUUUUGUUGCUACUGUUUUCUGCGUGUCAAGUAUUUAUUCCUAUGACCAUGAGAUCAUAUAACUCACUGACACCGGAGUAAUGCUUUGUGUGUAUCAAACGUCGCAACGUAACUGGGUGACUAUAAAGAUGCUCUACAGGUAUCUCCGAAGGUGUUAGUUGAGUUAGUAUGGAUCAAGACUGGGAUUUGUCACUCCGUGUGACGGAGAGGUAUCUCGGGGCCCACUCGGUAAUACAACAUCACACACAAGCCUUGCAAGCAAUGUAACUUAGUGUAAGUUGCGGGAUCUUGUAUUACGGAACGAGUAAAGAGACUUGCCGGUAAACGAGAUUGAAAUAGGUAUGCGGAUACUGACGAUCGAAUCUCGGGCAAGUAACAUACCGAAGGACAAAGGGAAUGACAUACGGGAUUAUACGAAUCCUUGGCACUGAGGUUCAAACGAUAAGAUCUUCGUAGAACAUGUAGGAUCCAAUAUGGGCAUCCAGGUCCCGCUAUUGGAUAUUGACCGAGGAGUCUCUCGGGUCAUGUCUACAUAGUUCUCGAACCCGCAGGGUCUGCACACUUAAGGUUCGANNNNNNNNNNNNNNNNNNNNNNNNNNNNNNNNNNNNNNNNNNNNNNNNNNNNNNNNNNNNNNNNNNNNNNNNNNNNNNNNNNNNNNNNNNNNNNNNNNNNCGGGGGCGCGCAAGCGCACCCGCUGGGUGUAGCCUCCGGGCGACUCGAAGAGUAAGACGGAGGGUCUUUGUUGUUGCUGGAGUAGACGGUAGCGUCGGGGAUGUCGGGCGCGGACGCAAUGUCCGCCGAAUGGUGCGCGCGAGGCGCUGCCGGGUGCGGACGCGGGGUCCGCCGGCUGGUGCGUGCGAGGCGAUGCCGGGCACGGACGCAGAGUCCGUCGGCUGACUGUUUCCAUCGGGGGCGCGCAAGCGCACCCGCUGGGUGUAGCCUCCGGGCGACUUGCAGAGUCGUGCGGAGGCUUCUUGCUGUUGUUGUAGCAGAUGUUGAUGAUGUUGGCCGGCUACGGGCCACAGCCGUCAAUGCCCUAGCCGGACAGGAGUAGCCAGCGGCCGGAAGCCGUCCGGGCUCCAGCCAUCCGGGUGAUGGGAGGUUCUCGCCAAGAUGAUCAUGCAAAAGACAAGGUUAGUAGAUGCAGACAUGUCUAAUAUUUGGUUUUGGGAGUGCAAGUUUAUGCAAAGGGCGUCGGCUCGGUUUNNNNNNNNNNNNNNNNNNNNNNNNNNNNNNNNNNNNNNNNNNNNNNNNNNNNNNNNNNNNNNNNNNNNNNNNNNNNNNNNNNNNNNNNNNNNNNNNNNNNAGCAUGUAGCACCAGGCCACACAAACAGCGUAGCUCGCCAGGGCAUGUAGCCGGCCAUGCAUGUACGCCGUAGUGCAGCCGAGUCAGGCCACGCACGCACCAUAUGCAUGCAUGCAUACAAAUGCUUGUGGCCAAGCAGCCAAGUAGCCUAGUAAGUUAGUAACCCGACGUGCGUGCAUGCGUGCAGACGGGGAUGGCCAGCACAUGAACUGGUGGGAGCCGUCCAGGUGCGGCGAGGGCGAGCCGGCAGGCGCGCACGAGUUGGCCGGGCGCGCCAUGGUGAGCCGACCGGCGCCACGCACGGAGCCACGCGCAGGGGCACGGGCGAGCGGAGCAACGUGAACACGUCGGAGGGUAUGUGGGGCAGCGGCGAUGCAUGAGCUUCGCAGGUCCGCAGUUUGGACGCGCCGGCGGGGCGCGCUGCAGGAGCGGACGAAGCCAUGGUGCGCAGCGGCGAGGCCACAGGCGGACCUGCACAUAUGGGCGAAGAAGCGGACGACGUGGAGGACGCCAAACGCGGCGUAUGCGGAAGCGGAUCGAAGGCGAACGACACGAGCACGCCGCCACGCACGGUACGUCGGGGGCGUGCUGAUGUCGAGCCCCCGAGCAACGCCGGAGAAACGGCAUCAAAUGUCGCGGUGGUGACGAUGAAGAGGGUCCCGCCCAGACCGCGGUUCCAGCGGCAACUGGCCCCACCGUGGGCGUCAAAUGUCGUUAUUUUGAUAUAGGGGGUAUCCUGACGGCAUAUGUCAUGGGAUGGUUAAUCGAGGUGAGGGCAAGGCUGUCGUGGAUGAUCCGGGACGGGAUAGGGUAAUAGCACGCGGUGGUUUACCCAGGUUCGGGGCUCUCMGGAGAGAUAAUACACCUACUCCUGCAUGUGUGUAUAUGAUGUAUAUUGGCAGUACAAGGUUGCUCCUGGAGCUGUAUUGGAGGAGGAAGAGAGCUGAGCGCCUCCUCCUUGGCCUCAUGUCUGAGUGUGUGUAUGUGGGGGCCGAGAGCCUGAGAGAGUGAGAGGGCAGCCUAAGGCCUUUUGUAUGGAUGUNNNNNNNNNNNNNNNNNNNNNNNNNNNNNNNNNNNNNNNNNNNNNNNNNNNNNNNNNNNNNNNNNNNNNNNNNNNNNNNNNNNNNNNNNNNNNNNNNNNNCUCCUCCUUGGCCUCAUGUCUGAGUGUGUGUAUGUGGGGGCCGAGAGCCUGAGAGAGUGAGAGGGCAGCCUAAGGCCUUUUGUAUGGAUGUGCAGCUUGGUAUGUAAGCUACGGUGGAUAGCUUACAUACCAAGCUGCUUGGUAUGUAAGCUACCCACCGUAGCUUACAUACCAAGCAGCUUGGUAUGUAAGCUACCAUGGGUAACUUACAUGCCAAGCUAUAUGCAGCUUGGGACCUAAGCUAUGCUUGUCCCCUGGGGCACUUUAUAAACCAGCGCCCAGGGGACAAGUUACACUGUAGAUAAAGCAGUACGACGCCUGAGAGGACGUCGUAGUUGACUACGACUAGUCGUCGGGCUGGCGUAGCCGGCUGGACAGCGGAGCCGGCCGGAGUGGGCAGGCACCCCGCUCGACUCUGCGUCUUUGGGGUACCUGGGGAUUAUUCCCCCGACAGUAGCCUCCGAGCCUCCGUGCGACUCAAAGAGCCGGACGGAGGGUUUUCGCAGUCGUUGUUGAUGCAGAAGUUGUCGAUGACGGUCGAUUGCAAGCCGGGGACGGAGUGGCUUGUUUUCAGCCCGAGCCGGCGACCCUUUGUAGCUGAACUUUGCAUGCAUCCGGCCUUACGUGGCGUUACCUCGCCAGCCAGACGACCGGAGCUAGUCCGCAAGCUCGUACGGGGUGACCAGGGAUCAACCGGCUUACACUAUGUGUUCUUUUACAAUAGGGAGGGCGUUCGAGCGGCUAGCGAGCCCCCGAGCUUGUCAAAGCCAGCAAGGGGCGUGCGCUGCGUAGCCUCCGAGCCCGAGUCGGCGACCCUUUGUAGCCGAACUUUGCAUGCAUCCGGCCUUACCUGAUGUCACCUCGCAAGCCAAACGGCCGGAGCCAGUCCGCAAGCUCGUACGGGGUGACGAGGGAUCAGCCGGCUUACACUAUGUGUUCUUUUACAAUAGGGAGGGGGUGGCUUGUUUUCAGCGGGGGCGCGCCAGCGCACCCGCUGGGUGUAGCCUCCGAGCCUCCGGGCGACUCGAAGAGUUAGGCGGAGGGUCUUUGCUGUUGUUGGAGUAGACGGUAGCGUCGGGGAUGUCGGGCGCGGACGCAAUGUCCGCCAACUGGUGCACGCGAGGCGCUGCCGGGCACGGACGCGGGGUCCGCCGGCUGGUGCGCACGAGGCGCUGCCGCGCGCGGACGCGGGGUCUGCCAGCCGGUGCGCGCGAGGCGCCGCCGGGCGCGGACGCGAGGUCCGCUGGCUGGCUGUUUCCAUCGGGGGCGCGCAAGCGCACCCGCUGGGUGUAGCCUCCGGGCGACUCGAAGAGUAAGACGGAGGGUCUUUGUUGUUGCUGGAGUAGACGGUAGCGUCGGGGAUGUCGGGCGCGGACGCAAUGUCCGCCGAAUGGUGCGCGCGAGGCGCUGCCGGGUGCGGACGCGGGGUCCGCCGGCUGGUGCGUGCGAGGCGAUGCCGGGCACGGACGCAGAGUCCGUCGGCUGACUGUUUCCAUCGGGGGCGCGCAAGCGCACCCGCUGGGUGUAGCCUCCGNNNNNNNNNNUGCAGAGUCGUGCGGAGGCUUCUUGCUGUUGUUGUAGCAGAUGUUGAUGAUGUUGGCCGGCUACGGGCCACAGCCGUCAAUGCCCUAGCCGGACAGGAGUAGCCAGCGGCCGGAAGCCGUCCGGGCUCCAGCCAUCCGGGUGAUGGGAGGUUCUCGCCAAGAUGAUCAUGCAAAAGACAAGGUUAGUAGAUGCAGACAUGUCUAAUAUUUGGUUUUGGGAGUGCAAGUUUAUGCAAAGGGCGUCGGCUCGGUUUCGACCGAGCCCCCUUAAGUCUUUUUCAUGUUCUCCCCGCUCUUUGGCUUUUGCUCUUGCUAGCCGGACAGCCGGGAGCCAGUCUGUAGCUGAGGCGAAGAGUGGGCCGCGGAAUGGUCCGUACAGUACUCGGAUUCUGGGAGCAGACUCGACCGAGCAGAUACUCACAAAUAAAACGAUCGAGCCCCCUUAAGUCGUUUUCAUGUUCUCCCCGCUCUUUGGCUUUUGCUCUUGCUAGCCGGACAGCCGGGAGCCGGUCUGUAGCUGAGGCGAAGAGUGGGCCGCGGAAUGGAGCGUACAGUACUCGGACUGUGGGAGCAGACUCGACCGAGCAGAUACUCACAAAUGAAACGACCGUGUCGCCCAAGCCGUUUUCUCCCUGGGCGUUUUUCGCGUGUGGUGACCUCCAGCUUUUGCUCUCGCUAGCCGGACAGCCGGGGUGCGGUCUGUAGCUGAGACAAAGAGCGGGCCUUCGGUACCGUACAGGUUACUAAGCCGUCCAUGAAAACGAACGUAUCAGGCCAAACGGCCGACCCGAGGCCGAGACUAGCUAGCGCCGGGUGAACAGUAAAGCAACUGAAACAGAUGCGGGGAUGGCCUCCGAGGGUCGCUCGGGGUAUCCAUAUUUUGUGCAUGGUGUAAAAACAUGUAGAUGAACAGCUCACAUUGCUUUUUUACAGUCGGCAAGACGGUUGUUGUCGAUGAUGAUCGGUGCGGCUUGCAGUCGUCGUGGCGUUUUGCUAGACGAGAACACCGGGGCACCCGCUGGGUGUAGCCGCCGAGCCUCUGGUGGUCGGCUGGUAUGCCAGUAUGCCGGGAGUCGAAGCAAAUGGGCGACCGGAGUCGGCCAGAUGUCGAAGUAGACGGGCAACCGGAGUCGGCCGAUGUCGAAGUAGACGGGCGACCGGAGUCGGCCGAUGUCGAAGUAGACGGGCCACCGGAGUCGGCCGAUGUCGAAGUAGACACGACCGAGUCGAUCUGGCGCCCACUCCAUUUUUUAUUUUUUUUUGAACCGGCAGCCAGCUAGCUAGCCGGUCGUGGGCGCACACAUGCAUAUGGCCAAGCAGUACACAUGCACGCGGCCAAGCAGUCGGCCAUGCACGUACAUAUGCAUGCGGCCAAGCACCCGGAUGUGCGCGCACAUGCAGGCGGCCAAGCAGACGGGAGCCGGCGGGCGCGCGGGAGACGGCCAGUGCGGGGCGGCGAGCCGGCGGGCGCGGGGCGACGAGCCGGCCAGCGCGCNNNNNNNNNNNNNNNNNNNNNNNNNNNNNNNNNNNNNNNNNNNNNNNNNNNNNNNNNNNNNNNNNNNNNNNNNNNNNNNNNNNNNNNNNNNNNNNNNNNNCUUUUCCCUAAGCACGUAUGACUACAUACGGAAUACAUGCCUACAUUAUACUGAUGAACGGGAGCUAGUCACAUAUCUCUCCGUGUUAUAGUUGUUACAUGAUGAAUCACAUCCCUCACACUCAUCCAUCACCGAUCCACUGCCUACGAGUCUUUUACUACUGGUUCUCGCUACGUUACUUUGCCUAGGCUUGUCCCUUGCUACAAGAGGGAUUGGGCCACUUUGCUGCUGUUGUCACUACUGAUGUUACUUGUUACUUUGUUGUUGCUGUCACUACUGCUGUUACUUGUUACUUUGUUGCUGCUGCUACUACUGUUCCUUGCUACUCCGCUGUUACUUGUUGCAAGACUUUUUUGGCGCUAACAUCCAGUCAACAAGGCUUUUUCUAGCGCCAUUGUCGGGGAUUGUCAAAGCUUUUUCUGGUGUCGUUGCUAUCAUACUACCUUGCUACUGAUACUUUGCUUGCAGACACUAAUCUUUCAGGUGUGGUUGAAUUGACAACUUAGCUACUAAUACUUGAGAAUAUUCUUUAGCUUCCCCUAGUGAGCGAAUCAAUAAAUUUUGGUUGAAUACUCUACCCUCGAAAACUGAUGUGAUCCCAUACGCUUGUGGGACAUCAAGGCUUUUUCUAGCGUCGUUGUCGGGGAGGCACAUCUAUAUUCUCUGAGUCACCUGGGAUGGACGUCUGCUAAUCACUAUGAGGAAUCCGAAAGAUCCAAGAACUAAAAUCGUGCCUUCCACUACGAGGAGAGGUAAGGAACUGCCAUCUAGCUCUGCACUUGAUUCACCUUCAGUUUUGAGUAAGUUUGCGACAUCCCCUCCUGCUAGAAAUCUUGAUACGUCGCCGGUGCUUGAUGAUGCUACUUCUGCUGCCCAUGAUGCUUAUGAUGCUAUGCUUGAUACUAUGCCUGAUGAUGCUAUGCUUGAUGCUAUGCCUGAUGAUGCUAUGCUUGAUACUAUGCCUGAUGAUGCUAUGCUAGAUACUAUGCCUGAUGAUGCUAUGCCUGAUACUGGUUUGCCACUUGGUGCAUUCCUUGAUGCACAUAUUGCUAGAGUUGCUGCUAGAUGUGAUGAUACUUCUGAGACUGCUGAUACUAUUGAAGUAGAACCUGCUACUAUGCAUGAAUUGCCUACUAUGCCUGAUACGCGCUAUGUUAUGGAGGGAGAGAUAGCUGAGGACUUUCUUGCGUGUAAGGAUAGCUAUGAUGUUGAGAAACUUCUGCGCAAGUGGAAAGAAAAAUCUCUGAACGCUAGGUUGAAAUAUGACCCGAAGUUUGCCACUUCACCUAUCUUUGUGACCGACAAGGAUUAUGAAUUCUUUGUCGACCUUGAGUUAAUCACUCUAGUCGAAUCUGAUCCUUUUCACGGUUAUGAGUGUGAAACGGUUGUAGCCCAUCUUACCAAACUGCACGAUACAGCCACCCUAUUCACUAGUGAGGAAACGAUCUGCCACUAAUACAUGCUCAAGUUGUUUCCUUUCUCGCUAAAGGAUAUUGCUAAGACCCAGUUCACUUAUCUUGCUCCUGGUUGUGUGCGUAGCCCCCAGGAUAUGGUCUACUACUGCCAUAAGAAGCAAGCUGCCUUGCAGGAAAUAUACAACUUUGCUCAAGCUGAAGAAGAGAGUCUCCCACAAGCUUGGGGGAGGCUCAUCUAGCUACUGAAUGCUUUGCCUGAUCACCCUCUUGAGAAGAACGAAAUACUUGAUAUCUUCUAUAAUGGACUUACCGAUGCUUCCAAAGACCAUCUAGAUAGUUGUGCUGGUAGUGUUUUUAGGGAAUGAACUGUAGAACAAGCUGAGAUUCUGCUGAAAAACAUCUUGUGCAAUGAGAAUGCUUGGACUAUUCCGGAACCACCUCCUAACCCAACUCCGAAGAAAAGAGGUAUUCUAUUCCUCACUCCCAAAUAUAUGCAAGAAGCCAAGAAAUCUAUGCGAGAGAAAGGCAUUAAAUCUGAAGAUGUCAAAAAUCUACCACCUAUCGAAGAUAUCCAUGGUCUCGAUAACCCGAUACAGGUAGUAGAAGUAAAUUCUCUGUGUAGGUUUGAUGAGAGUGAUAUUCCUUUUGAUAAACCUGCUAGCUUAUGCUUGGAUGAAUUUGAUAACUUCGUUGCCAAACAACAGAGUUUCAAUGAUUAUUGUUAGCAGACAAUUGGAAAAGAAUGCUCGUAUGCUUAGUCAUUUAAGUGCUUGUGUGGACAGAGACGUCAAUGAUCUUAAGCUUCUGAGUAAACAUGCUUCUAUGGUUACUACUCAGGUAGAACAAGUACUUAAAACUCAAAUGACUUGCUCAAUGAGUUGAAUGACACUUCCGUCAGAAUCGUCACUAGAGGCGGUAGAAUGACCCAGGAACCUUUGUAUCCUGAGGGUCAUCCGAAGAGAAUUGAACAAGAGUCUCAAGGAGUUAGCACUGAUGCACCUAGUCAUCCUAGAAAGAAGAAGAAAGAUGAUAGGAACCUGCACGCUAGCAACCCUGUUGCUGCUACACCUGAGAGUCCAAACGAUGCCUCUGUCUCUGAUGCUGAAACACAAUCUGGUGAUGAACAUGAGCCUAAUGAUAAUCUCAAUAGUGAUGUUCAUGAUGAUGCUCAACCUAGCAAUGAAAAGGAUGUGGAGAUUGAACCUAGCGUUGAUCUUGAUAACCCACAGCCUAAGAAUAGAAGAUACGAUAAGAAUGACUUCGCUGCUAGGAAGCACGGUAAGGAAAGGGAGCCAUGGGUUCAGAAACCUAUGCCCUUUCCUCCCAAACCAUCCAAGAAAAAGGAUGAUGAGGAUUUUGAGCGCUUCGUUGAAAUGAUCAGACCUGUUUUCUGCAGAUGCGUUUGACUGAUAUGCCCAAGAUGUCCCCGUAUGCUAAGUACAUGAAAGAUAUUGUGACUAAUAAGAGGAGGAUACCUGAUCUUGAGAUCUCUGCCAUGCUUGCUAACUAUACCUUCAAGGGUGGAACUCCGAAGAAACUAGGUGAUCCCGGUGUGCCCAAUAUACCUUGCUCCAUUAAAGGCAACUAUGUUAGAACUGUGUUGUGCGACCUUGGAGCUGGUGUUAGUGUUAUGUCUCUCUCUCUUUAUCGUAGGCUUGAACUGGAUAAGUUGACACCCACUGAAAUCUCUCUGCAAAUGGAUGACAAAUCAACUGCUUUCCCUAUCGGCAUUUGCGAGGAUGUGCCUGUUGUGGUUGCUAACACCACUAUCUUAAUAGACUUUGUUAUCUUGGAUAUUCCCGAGGAUGAUGCCAUGGCUGUCAUCCUCGGAAGACCCUUUUUGAACGCCGCAGGGGCUGUUAUAGAUUGCAACAAAGGCAAUGUCACUUUCCAUGUCAACGGUAAUGAGCAUACGGUGCACUUUCCAAAGAAACAAUAUCGAGUACAUUGCAUAAAUGCUAUCGAAAAGACUUCAUCGAUUCUUAUUGGGAGCUUUGAAUGCCCUAUUCCUCGUGUCAAGAUGAAGUAUGAUUUUCUUGUUGGGGAGAUACACAUCCCCAUUGAGGUGACCUAGUGACUAUUCGGAAAUUCUCCGUUCUCUUUUGCGAUUCGAAAAGGUUUUUCAAAGAGGCUUGAUCAACCUCACUGACGAGUUUCUUUCAAUGACCAUGAGAUGGAUGAAUCGCGGAGUCACAAACCUCUGUUCCAAGCUUUCACUUUAGGUUGCUUAGAAGAAAAAUGAUAGAUUUAGUUUAGUUUUCCCUGUUUUCUGUUUCAGCAUCCGUUAGAAAAAUACCCCGAAAAUAAAAGUUCUCUGAACGUCCUGAAAAUCAAGUAUGACUUUUUCUGGAAUAUUUGAAAAAUACUGGGACAAAGAGUGUGUCUGGGGGGCACACCAGUGGGCCACAAGCCCUAGGGGCGCAGGCACCCCCCUGGCCACACCACCCAGGCUUGUGGGGCCCACAGGCACCCCCUCCACUCAUUCUUGCUCCCAUCUAGUUCUCCUACCUCCAGAAAAAAUCGUUUCGCAGCUCAAACCCGUGUUCUUGCUCCUCUUGGUGGGUUUUUCGAUCUCUUUGCUCAAAUCACCGUUCUCCGAACUGUUUUGGGGAAAUUACUCCUUGGUAAGUGACUCCUCCAUUGGUCCAAUUAGUUUUUGCUCUAGUGCCUUAUACUCCGCGUAUUUUUUGUUGCCUCGGUGACCAUGUUCUUGAGCUUUGUAUGCUGAUUCUAGCUGGUCCCAAGUAGUUUUGAUGCGUAAUAUGGUCUCUAGGCACUUGUUCGAGUAGUUGCUACGAGUUUCGUUGGGCCUUAUUCACUUUUUUUUUUGACCGGCUACUGNNNNNNNNNNNNNNNNNNNNNNNNNNNNNNNNNNNNNNNNNNNNNNNNNNNNNNNNNNNNNNNNNNNNNNNNNNNNNNNNNNNNNNNNNNNNNNNNNNNNCUCGUGAGAACAAAAAGAGCAGAGGAACAGUAGCACGCAGCCAUGGAAACCAUGUUGACGAGAAAGGAAUAAGCAGAAAUAGUCUGAAGCACAAGCUCGGCAAAAUUGAUAAAUUUAACUCAGAAGCCAAAGUAUUUCACAAACUGAACUGUGUUUAAAAAAUCACCCAACUAACCCUUUUGUGUGGCGCCCGAUGAUACGUCUCCGUCGUAUCUACUUUUCCGAACACUUUUGCCCUUGUUUUGGACUCUAAUUUGCAUGAUUUGAAUGGAACUANNNNNNNNNNNNNNNNNNNNNNNNNNNNNNNNNNNNNNNNNNNNNNNNNNNNNNNNNNNNNNNNNNNNNNNNNNNNNNNNNNNNNNNNNNNNNNNNNNNNNNNNNNNNNNNNNNNNNNNNNNNNNNNNNNNNNNNNNNNNNNNNNNNNNNNNNNNNNNNNNNNNNNNNNNNNNNNNNNNNNNNNNNNNNNNNNNCAGAUUUUUUCUGGAAUAAAAGAAAAAUAACUGCGCAAAGUUCCACGUGAGGGGGCGUGCCAGUGGGCCACAAGCCCACAGGCCGCGGCCACCCCCUAUGGUCGCACCGUGCAGGCUUGUGGGGCCCACGUGGCACCACCGCCCCCAAAUCUCAGCUCUAUAUCUUACGUUUCGCCUGGAAAAAAAAUCAGAGAGAAGGUUUCAUCGCGUUUUGCGAUACGGAGGCCCCGCCACAUCCUGUUCUUCAUCUGGAGGGCAGAUCUGGAGUCCGUUUCGGGCUCCGAAGAGGGGAAAUCGUCGCCAUCAUCAUCAUCAACCUUUCUCCAUCGACAAUUCCAUGAUGCACUUCAUCGUUCAUGAGUAAUCUCAUCGUAGGCUUGGUGGACGGUGAUGAGUUGGAUGAGAUCUAUCAUGUAAUCGAGUUAGUUCUUGAUGGGGAUNNNNNNNNNNGAGAGGGGAAAUUGUCGCCAUCGUCAUCAUCAACCUUUCUCCAUCGAUAAUUCCAUGAUGCUCUUCAUCGUUCGUGAGUAAUCUCAUCGUAGGCAUGCUGGACGGUGAAGAGUUGGAUGAGAUCUAUCAUGUAAUCGAGUUAGUUCUUGAUGGGGAUUGAUCCCUAGUAUCAACUACGUUCUAGAUUGAUGUUGCUACUACUUGCCUAUGCUUAAUGCUUGUCACUAGGGCCCGAGUGCCAUGAUUUCAGAUCUGAACCUAUUAUGUUGUCGCCAAUAUAUGUCUGCUUUAGAUCCUAUCUUGCAAGUUGUAGUCACCUACUAUGUGUUAUGACCCGGCAACUCCGGAGUGACAAUAGCCGGAAACACUCCCGGAGAUGACCAUGGUAUGAGGAGUUCAUGUAUUCACCGCGUGUUAAUGUGUUGGUCUGGUUCUUUAUAUUAAGGAGAACCUUAAUAUCCCGUAGUUUCCAUUAGGACCCCGCUGCCACNNNNNNNNNNNNNNNNNNNNNNNNNNNNNNNNNNNNNNNNNNNNNNNNNNNNNNNNNNNNNNNNNNNNNNNNNNNNNNNNNNNNNNNNNNNNNNNNNNNNAACUUUUGAUCCGUAGCUCCGUUGGAGAUGNNNNNNNNNNACAAUUUCAUUUUCUCUUGCUGGUUGUUUGUUUUGAAGUGCUCGUGACCGUCGUUGCACACAUAUUGCAGCCAUGACAUUAUAUCUUGCGGUGCUUGUAACUUUUGAUCCGUAGCUCCGUUGGAGAUGUUCUUUAUGUCUAGAUUGCUUGCCAUGACGCGUAGAACCACGUGAACCUAUUUGUUUUUCUGUUUAACAACUAAUUAAAUUUGUUAAUUCAGAUCUGGACAGAAUUGAAAAUAAAAGUGAGGUCGUCUCGGAGAUGCUAUAUGUCAUUUCCGACCUCAUUUAAAAUGUCUAGAUAGGUAGUUUAAUUUCCGCUUCACCUCUUGCAUGUAUGACAACAUUAAUAUUGCCGUGUAAAUACUCGGGAUAGAACUAAAUAAAUAAGCGUGAAGUUUCGUCAAUAUGCAACUCGUUGCAUAUUGAACUUCACUUAAGGUGNNNNNNNNNNGUUUGUUUUGCUGUUUAACAACUAAUUAAAUGUGUCAAUUCAGAUCUGGACAGAAUUGUAAAUUAACAUGUGAGGUCGUCUCGGAGAUGCUAUAUGUCAUUUCCGACCUCAUUUAAAAUGUCUAGAUAGGUAGUUUAGUUUCCGCUUCACCUCUUGAAUGUAUGACAACAUUAAUAUUGCCGUGUAAAUAAUCGGGAUAGAACUAAAUAAAUAAGCGUGGAGUUUCGUCAAUAUGCAACUCGUUGCAUAUUGAACUUCACUUAAGGUGUGGUGUUUGUUUGUGUGAAUUGUCAUGUUGUGACUUGCUUGCAUUCAGCUGCUCAUGCAUCAUAUGUGUUGUGCAUCGUGUGGUGAAUUUCGUGUGUUGAUGUGUGUUUCCGGUUUGCUUCGUCUCGAUAGAGUUCCGCAGCGUGCCGGAUUGUGAGGACCCAUUCGACUACGUCGGUUCGUCUGCUUCACGAGGCAUUCUUCUUCCAAGCGGGAUCUCAGGCAAGAUGAUCAUUUCCUCAGAUACCAUUACUAUCAUUGCCAUACUAGUUUUACCGCUUCUAUCGAUUAUGUCUCGUUGCCUACCACAUGUUAAAUAUCAGCCUCUCAACAAUGCCUUGUUUACCUUCAACCUGUUUGACCUAGCAAACCACUGAUUGGCUAUGUUACCGCUUGCUUAACCAUGUUGUUAGCGUUGCUAGUUGCAGGUGCAGUUGCUUCCAUGUGAUAACAUGGGUUCCUUGUCAUAUUACUAUAUUAAUGCUAUUUAAUUUAAUGCACCUAUAUACUUGGUAAAAGGUGGAAGGCUCGGCCUUUCUAGCCUGGUUUUUUGUUCCACCUUUGCCCCCUUAGUUUCGGCUACCGGUGUUAUGUUCCAUAAUUGAGCGCUCCUAACACGAUCGGGGUUGUUAUGGGGACCCCCUUGAUAAUUCGUUUUAGAUUAAAGCUGGUGUGGCAAGGACCAACAUUGGUUUUACAUUUGCCCAACAUAAUAAUUUGAUAAUACUGAAAUGCAUAGGGAGUUAGCGCUACCUGAGGAGUAAUUUUACAUAAACAGGGGGGCCAGUGCUGAUGGUGUUGGUCCCAAACGGUCUGCCUAUGGGGCCACCGCGAGGAAACUCGAGGUUUGGCACUCGUAGCUAGUUCCAUCCGUCGUGUCCUGAGAAUGAGAUACACGGCUCCUAUCGGGUACAUCAACACGUCGGGCGGCCUUGCUGGUUAGUUUUACCUUUGACGAGAUAUCUUGUGCAUCGGGAUUCCGGUGAUNNNNNNNNNNCUUAGCGCUACCCGAGGAGUAAUUUUACAUAAACAGGGGGGGCCAGUGCUGAUGAUGUUGGUCCCAAACGAUCUGCCUGCGGGGCCACCGCGAGGAAACUCGAGGUUUGGCACUCGUAGCUAGUUCCAUCCGUCGUGUCCUGAGAACGAGAUACGCGGCUCCUAUCGGGUGCGUCGACACGUCAGGCGGCCUUGCUGGAUUAGUUUUACCUUUGACGAGAUAUCUUGUGCAUCGGGAUUCCGGUGAUGCUUUGGGUAAUCUCAGAGUUGAGGUUUUCCUCUAAGGAAUUCAACGAGAUUGCGAGCUUUGUGAUCGAGGAUUUCUAUGCGGCUUGUGGUAAUUUGUGAUGGACUAGUUGGAGCACCCCUGCAGGGUUAAAUCUUUUCGNNNNNNNNNNNNNNNNNNNNNNNNNNNNNNNNNNNNNNNNNNNNNNNNNNNNNNNNNNNNNNNNNNNNNNNNNNNNNNNNNNNNNNNNNNNNNNNNNNNNCACACAAAGCAUUCCUCCGGUGUCAGUGAGNNNNNNNNNNGAGAUACCUGUAGGGCAUCUUUAUAGUCACCCAGUUACGUUGCAACGUUUGAUACACACAAAGCAUUCCUCCGGUGUCAGUGAGUUAUAUGAUCUCAUGGUCAUAGGAACAAAUACUUGACACACAGAAAACAGUAGCAACAAAAAGACACGAUCAACAUGCUACGUCUAUUAGUUUGGGUCUAGUCCAUCACAUAUUCUCCUAAUGAUGUGAUCCCGUUAUCAAGUGACAACACUUGCCUAUGGUCAGGAAACCUCGACCAUCUUUGAUCAACGAGCUAGUCAACUAGAGGCUUACUAGGGACAGUGGUUUGUCUAUGUAUCCACACAUGCACUAUGUUUCCAAUCAAUACAAUUAUAGCAUGGAUAAUAAACGAUUAUCAUGAACUAAGAAAUAUAAUAAUAACUAAUUUAUUAUUGCCUCUAGGGCAUAUUUCCAACAAAUCUAGCAAUGAGAGAUGAAAGGACAAAGUUGCUAACCUUUGUGAACACUUGGAUGGAUGGGACGCUCAAAUCUUGACAAAUCUAGUGUGGGGGGNNNNNNNNNNUGACACGAUCAACAUGCUACGUCUAUUAGUUCGGGUCCAGUCCAUCACGUGAUUCUCCUAAUGACGUGAUCCAGUUAUCAAGCAACAACACCUUGUAUAUAAUUAGAAGACCCUGACUAUCUUUGAUCAACUGGCUAGCCAACUAGAGGCUUGCUAGGGACAGUGUUUUGUCUAUGUAUCCACACAUGUAUAUAAGUCUUCAUUCAAUACAAUUAUAGCAUGGAUAAUAAAUGAAUAUCUUGAUACAGGAAUUAUAAUAACAACUAUAUUUAUUAUUGCCUCUANNNNNNNNNNNNNNNNNNNNNNNNNNNNNNNNNNNNNNNNNNNNNNNNNNNNNNNNNNNNNNNNNNNNNNNNNNNNNNNNNNNNNNNNNNNNNNNNNNNNACUCGGUAAUACAACAUCACACACAAGCCUUGCAAGCAAUGUGACUUAGUGUAAGUUGCGGGAUCUUGUAUUACGGAACGAUUAAAGAGACUUGCCGGUAAACGAGAUUGAAAUAGGUAUGCGGAUAAUGACGAUCGAAUCUCGGGCAAGUAACAUACCGAAGGACGAAGGGAAUGACAUACGGGAUUAUAUGAAUCCUUGGCAGUGAGGUUCAAACGAUAAGAUCUUUGUAGAAUAUGUAGGAUCCAAUAUGGGCAUCCAGGUCCCGCUAUUGGAUAUUGACCGAGGAGUCACUCAGGUCAUGUCUACAUAGUACUCGAACCCGCAGGGUCUGCACACUUAAGGUUCGACGUUGUUUUAUGCGUAUUUGAGUUAUAUGGUUGGUUACCGAAUGUUGUUCGGAGUCCCGGAUGAGAUCACGGACGUCACGAGGGUUUCCGGAAUGGUCCGGAAACGAAGAUUGAUAUAUAGGAUGACCUCAUUUGAUUACCGGAAGGUUUUCGGAGUNNNNNNNNNNNNNNNNNNNNNNNNNNNNNNNNNNNNNNNNNNNNNNNNNNNNNNNNNNNNNNNNNNNNNNNNNNNNNNNNNNNNNNNNNNNNNNNNNNNNCUACAAAUGAACUCUGAAAAGGUUGAAACUUGGCAUGGUAUCAUCAUUUCACCCACAUAGCAUGUGCUAAAAAGUUGGGAGUGUUACGGCAAAAAUUGUAUGCACUUCGUGUACAAAAUGGACAGUCUCUUUCGAAGUAUUACAGUUUCGAACGAACACCCAUCUCUUACAAAGGUAUUUCAUUUUUUUAAUAACCUAAAAAUUACCAAAUUUAAUAUAAUGAUAAAACACACUAAUAUUAAACAUCAGAAAAAAGAAUGACUAAAAAUAUAUAUUUUUAAUGCAAAGUUAUUCACAAACUAGUGAUUCACACAAAUUUCAAAAUAAAUAAAUUUAAACUAUGUAAAUUUUAAAACUACUAGCACUAACAGAAAUUUUGUCGUUUUUUGACCUAAACCAAAAAGAUUCAUCCAAAAACUAUAAAUAGUCUAACAGUUAUUCCAAAUUUAAAAACAAUAACUCUCAUGUUUAGAAAAACCAAAACAAUAAAAAAGAAAAAACAGACCUUUAGUCCCGGCUGGAGCCACCCACCGGGACUAAAGCUCCCUUCCGUGCGGAAUUUUGGGCAGCCAAAAAUNNNNNNNNNNNNNNNNNNNNNNNNNNNNNNNNNNNNNNNNNNNNNNNNNNNNNNNNNNNNNNNNNNNNNNNNNNNNNNNNNNNNNNNNNNNNNNNNNNNNAGAGAGAGAGAGAGAGGACUAGAGAAAGUUGUCGUAGUACACGGGUAGCGAUCUAUUCUUCGUUUUUUCCAAAUUGGCCAAGUAUAUCAACCAUAGACUUGUAUUGGUGCCUUGGCUCAUGGCACCAACCAAAUGANNNNNNNNNNNNNNNNNNNNNNNNNNNNNNNNNNNNNNNNNNNNNNNNNNNNNNNNNNNNNNNNNNNNNNNNNNNNNNNNNNNNNNNNNNNNNNNNNNNNNNNNNNNNNNNNNNNNNNNNNNNNNNNNNNNNNNNNNNNNNNNNNNNNNNNNNNNAGAGAAGGCAUGGCAAGAGCAAGUUUCGUCUGAUAGUACGACGCUGCCACGAUCAUGAUCAUGCACAUCUAACUACUUUUGCUACCUAGACAAGACACACUGAUUCAACAUAACUACACUCCGACUGCCUCUCCCACUGACACUGCCUUGCUGUCGACGCACCUCCGGGUAACCGUACCGCCCGCUCGCAUCGCCGCUACCUCAUUGCCUUCCUUGGUCAUCGCCACCCUUCUGCCCGACGCCGAGCCUGUUCGGCCCCCGUCGUCGUCGUCAGAAACAAGGUGAAACGUCGUCGCCAUAGCCGAUUCAUCGGAUUGCUUCGCAUCUUCUUCUUUUUUCGUCGCCAUUUCCUGCCAAUUUUGAUGGGAAAGUAUGGGGGGNNNNNNNNNNNNNNNNNNNNNNNNNNNNNNNNNNNNNNNNNNNNNNNNNNNNNNNNNNNNNNNNNNNNNNNNNNNNNNNNNNNNNNNNNNNNNNNNNNNNCAUAAACUAGGGUUUAAGCUUCUGUCACUCUAGCAACCCAUCAUCUACUUACUACUUCCCAAUGCCUUCCUCUAGGCCCAAAUAAUGGUGAAGUGUUAUGUAGUCGACGUUCACAUAACACCACUAGAGGAGAGACAACAUACAACACAUCAAAAUAUCGAACGAAUACCAAAUUCACAUGACUACUUAUAGCAUGACUUAUCCCAUGUCCUCAGGAACAAAAGUGACUACUCACAAAGCAUAAUCAUAUUCAUGACCAUAGAGAUAAUGAGUAGCAUCAAAGAUAUGAACAUAUAAUCUUCCACCAAGUAAUCCAACUAGCAUCAACUACAAAGAGUAAUUAACACUACUAGCAACCUUACACGUACUAAUCGGAGUCGUGAGACGGAGGUUGGUUACAAGAGAUGAACUAGGGUUUGGAGAUGAGAUGGUGCUGAUUAAUAUGUUGAUGGUGAUGAGUCCCCUCUGAUGAGAGGAGUGUUGGUGAUGACGAUGGCGAUGAUUUCCCCCUCCGGGAGGGAAGUUUCCCCAGCAGGACGACCUUGCCGGAGCUCUAGAUUGGUUAUGCUCAAGUUCCGCCUCGUGGCGGCGGCGAUUCCUCCCGAAAGCCUCCUCUUGAUUUUUUUGGAACGAAACCCUCCUUAUAGCAAAAGAGGGGAGCCAGAGGGCCAACAGGGAGCCCACAAGCCCCCUAGUCGCGGCCAGGGGGGUAGGCCGCACCUAGCAGGCUUGUGGCCUCCUGCUGGCUCCCCUCUGGUACUUCUUCAGCCUAGUAUUUUUUAUAAAUUCCAAAAUAAAUCCUCGUUGAUUUUCACGGCUUUUGGAGUUGCGCAGAAUAGGUAUCUCAAACUUGCUCCUUUUUCAGGCUAGAAUUCCAGCUGUCGGCAUUCUCCCUCUUCAUGUAAACCUUGCAAAAUAAGAGAGAAAAGGCAUAAGUAUUGUACCGUGAAGUGUAAUAACAGCCAAUAAUGUGAUAAAUAUCAACAUGAAAGCAUGAUGCAAAAUGGACGUAUCAGUGGUAUGAGAGCUUUGGUCUCCAUUGCAUUGGUUUCACAACCUAAGAGAGUAUGGCGUCUAGUGAGGGAAAUUAUCACCGUAGAGGUCCAUAUUUUGAUGGUACGAACUUCGCUAGUUGGAAGCAUAAGAUGGAAAUGCAUAUGCUUGGUCAUAAUCGUGCCGUUUGGGCUGUUGUUCGUUUUGGUGUGCAAGGUGAUUUCUUCGGAGAAGGAAGAGAACCGGAUCGCGAUGCGACAACAUAAGAAUUGAAGAUGUUGCAAUACAAUGCUGAAGCCUCCGACAUCAUGUUCAACUGCUUGCGCCCCGAAGAAUUCAACAAAAUCAGCCGCCUUGAGAAUGGAAAGGAAUUUUGGGAUACUUUGAUUGAUAUGCACGAAGGUACAUAUUCCGUUAGGGAAUCUAAGUUGGAUGUGCUUCAAAGUCAGCUUGACGAGUUCAAGAUGAAGGAUGGUGAAGGAGUCGCUGAGAUGUACUCUAGGCUAGCUCUCAUCACAAAUGAGAUUGUCGGCUUAGGAAGUGAAGAUAUGACCGACAAAUUCAUCAUAAAGAAGAUACUUGGAGCCUUGGAUUGAAGGUACCACACGGUGUGCACAUUAGUUCAAAGGAAGCCAAACUACAAGGAUCUCAAGCCAACUGAAGUCAUUGGAAGGAUUGUUGCUCAUGAAAUAUCACUCAAGGACAAAGAUGAGUUGCACAACAAGUCAAGCGGUGCUUACAAAGCUUCAAUUGAUACUCCCGCUACUUCAAAUGACAACCUUGUUACCAAUGAAGAGAUUAGACUCAUGGUCAUAAAAUUCAACAAGUUCUACAAAAGUAGAGGCAAGGAGAGAAGCUCAAGCUCAAGAUAUGAUGAGAAGUGUUCGUCUAGUCAUGAUCGAAACUCCUACAACUGUGGAAAGCCCGAACACUAUUUCAAUGAGUGCUCGGCUACCCACAAAAUAAGAGAAGAGUCACCUAGAAGACAAAGCUCAAGAGAUUAGUCACCUCGCAAAGAGAGAAGGAGUAGAGAAGAUCAUUAUGAAUGAAGACACUCCCGGAGAGGAAAGGAAUCGGAGAGGAAGGACAAGUACACCAAGAGCACCUCAAGAAGAAGACAUCAUGCUCACGCUGGUGAAUGGGUUUGCGGCUCCAAGUUUGGCAACCUAUCUGAGAGAAGCUACAACUCCAACUCCAACUAUAGUCAGGAUGAAGGUGUUGCCGAUCUUGCACUCAUUUCCUCCAACUCUUAUGGCUUAUUUGAUUCACCAAAUGAAGGGAUUGGAAACUUCUUCAUGGCAAAAGGCCCCAAGGUAUCAUACACCAAGUACUUUGACUUUGAUAGUUACGAGGAUGACUUGUUAGGAGAAGAUGACUUGCUCCUUGAUAAGACUAGUGAUAACUUUGAAAAUGAAAGAAAUCGAAUCAUGAUGAUGAGAAAGAGAUUGAAAGACUAACUAAAGAAUUAAACACUCUUAAGUUCGCUCAUGAAACUACUCUAGAAGAUCAUAGAGAGAUUGCAAGAACUCAUGAGAAGCUAUGCUUCGAGAAGCUAAAUUUAGAGAAUGAGCAUGAAUUUCUACAAGCAAUCAGUGAUGAUCUUCAAAAGAAGAGUUCUUCUUAUCUAGCCAAACGAUUACUCUUGUCUACUUUUUUUCCACAAGUUAAACCUAAGAACACUUGUAACAAAGGCAAGAAAGUUUCUUCAUCUAGUAACAACAAUACUAAAUUUAGAUCAAAUGAUGUUGUUGCUAGUAGAUCUCUUGAUUCCACUAAUGAUUCUCUUAGCCAAGUUACUGUUAAGCAAGAAAAUGAAUUAUUGAAAGGAAUUAUAGAGAGAGGUGUUUUCAAGAGUCUAGCUGGAAGUAAGCAAUUUGAGGAAAUUGUGCGCAAGCAAGGAGGACAUCAUAAGAAGCAAAGUGUUGGCUACUUCAAUGCCAACGGAGAUGAAUGGGAAGAAGGUCCAUAUCCCAUCCCAAAGUUCAUAUGUCUAGAGGAAAAGUAUGAUCCUACUCUUCCCAAGGGAACAAGCUCUCAAGAUGACCUUCAGCCACAAGAUCACACAGGCAAGGGCAAGCUUCAAGAGGAGAUUGACUCAUUUAAGGAAGAACCCGAACCCAAGGCCGAGCAGAUUCCCAAGGACACCACUAGCACUACCUCAUCUAGUGCAACCACAACUCCAAGGAUCCCCAUCAAGUUGAUGUGGGUCCCCAAGAGGAAGAACUAGAAAGUUCUUGAGGGGUGACUCCGCUAAUGAAAUUCACUCUUAUUCAUUUUGGCAAGAACUAUAUGCAAUCAACUCCAACCAUAUGCAUUAGUUCAAGGAGUCACACAUUCCCUCAAAGGUAAGCAAAGGACAAGGUAAUUAAUGCAUCUUUGGACAUCACAUCUCAUGCACUUCAUGCCAUGUUCAUAGAUAUUCUUGCAUGUGUUCCUUUNNNNNNNNNNNNNNNNNNNNNNNNNNNNNNNNNNNNNNNNNNNNNNNNNNNNNNNNNNNNNNNNNNNNNNNNNNNNNNNNNNNNNNNNNNNNNNNNNNNNCGGCGCCUCCGUAUCGAAAACGCGAUGAAAACUUCUCUUUUUUAUUUUUUCUGGACGAAAGACAACUUAUAGAGAUGGAGUUGGGGGCGGCAGGUGCUUGUGGGCCCCACAAACCUGCCCACCGCCAAGAGGGGGGUGGUGGCGGAGCAGGGGCUUGUGGCCCACUGGCCCACCCCCUGAGGUGGAACUUGGCGCAGAUAUUUUUUAUAUUUUCCAAAACUGCUCCCCGUAAAUUUUCAGGACGUUUGGAGAACUUUGAUUUCUGCACAAAAAUAACACCAAGGGAAUUCUGCUGAAAACAGCGUCAGUCCAGGUUAGUUCCAUUCAAAUCAUGCAAAUUAGAGUCCAAAACAAGGGCAAAAGAGUUUGGAAAAGUAGAUACGAUGGAGACAUAUCAGUGAGCACUAUCUAUGGCACGUUCAUAGCAUCUUCUUUGGCGACAAGAUUCAUGUGACCCUUCCUGUGAUUGUUGUUGGGGUCAAAGUUGUUGCGCUUUGGUGCUGGGUCAAAGCUAGGAGGGUUGGUUUUAGUUGUACCAUUCCCAACCUUUGGGCACUGUCGGGCGAAGUGUCUAGCUUCUCCGCAGGCAAAACAUGUGAUACCGGGGCGGGGAGUAAAAUCCUUGUUCCUCGCAUAAAAGUGGGUGUUGACUUUAUUUGCUAAUGUUGGAGUACGAGGAGUUUGAUUCUUUGUGUCCUUAGUCUUGUGCUUAAUGUUGUGUGUUGGUGCCAAGUUGUUAAGACGGCGGUUACGAAUGUCAUCCAAGCUGCGACGUUCGGCCUCCAGCAUGUUGGCCUUGUCCACAAGUGUUUUGAAGUCUAGAAAGGUGUGAACGACUAGCUGGCAUUUUAAUGCCGGAGCGAGUCCAUCCAGGAAUUUCUCUAUUCUUUUCUCUUCUGUCUUAUAGUCUUCAUUGCAUAACGGGAUAAUUGAUUAUACUGGUCCAGAUAUUCCAUUACAGUGGAACUCCUUUCUUUGAGGUCUUCGAAUUCCCUCUUCUUGAUUUUCAUGACGUUGUUUGGAAUGUGUGCCUGAUGUCAGCUAUGCUAAUGCACAAAAGUCCUUCCAAUGGCGCCAGAAACAGGUGUGUCGACGGCACCAGGAAUCCUUCAGCUGCGGCUACGCCUUAAGGGACUUCCUAGGCAAGUAUGCAAAGGAUUUCCCUCAUGGCCUUGGAGCCUUGCGUUGGUGUUCCCUUGAAGCGGAAAGGGUGAUGUAGCACAGCGAUGGUAAGUAUUUCCCUCAGUUUGAGAAUCAAUGUAUCAAUCCGGUGGAGGAGUAUCACAAGAUCCUGCACAAACACAAAAGCUUGCUCCCAACGCUAUGAAGGGGUUGUCAAUCCCUUAUAGAUUGUUUAACAAAUGAGAACUGAAAGCAANNNNNNNNNNNNNNNNNNNNNNNNNNNNNNNNNNNNNNNNNNNNNNNNNNNNNNNNNNNNNNNNNNNNNNNNNNNNNNNNNNNNNNNNNNNNNNNNNNNNNNNNNNNNNNNNNNNNNNNNNNNNNNNNNNNNNNNNNNNNNNNNNNNNNNNNNNNNNNNNNNNNNNNNNNNNNNNNNNNNNNNNNNNNNNNNNNNNNNNNNNNNNNNNNNNNNNNNNNNNNNNNNNNNNNNNNNNNNNNNNNNNNNNNNNNNNNNNNNNNNGUGGGUGAACAAAUUACUGUUGAGCAAUUUAUAGAACCGCGCAAAGUCGUGACGAUAUCUAUGCAAUGAUUAUAUUUAUAGGCAUCACGUCCAAAACAAGUAGACCGAUACUUUCUGCAUCUACUACUAUUACUCCACACGUCGACUGCUAUCGAGCAUGCAUCUAGUGUNNUAAGUCCAUAAGAACAGAGUAACGCCUUAAGCAAGAUGACAUGAUGUAGAGGGAUAAUCUCAAACCAAUGAUAAAAACCCCAUCUUUUUACCCUUGAUGGAAACUACUUGAUGUGUGCCUUGCUGCCCCUACUGUCACUAGGAAAGGUCACCACAUGGUAGAACCCAAAACCAAGCACUUCUCCCAUUNNNNNNNNNNNNNNNNNNNNNNNNNNNNNNNNNNNNNNNNNNNNNNNNNNNNNNNNNNNNNNNNNNNNNNNNNNNNNNNNNNNNNNNNNNNNNNNNNNNNNNNNNNNNNNNNNNNNNNNNNNNNNNNNNNNNNNNNNNNNNNNNNNNNNNNNNNNNNNNNNNNNNNNNNNNNNNNNNNNNNNNNNNNNNNNNNNNACUCGGAGAGACUUACGAGGAUAUCAAAUCAUGCAUAUAGGAAAUCAGCAAAGACUCAAAUAUAUAUCAUAGAUAAUCUCAUCACAAAUCCACAAUUCAUCGGAUCUCGACAAACACACCGCCAAAGAAGACUACAUCAGAUAGAUCUCCAUGAAGAUCAUGGAGAACUUUGUAUUGAAGAUCCAAGAGAGAGAAGAAGCCAUCUAGUUACUAACUACGGACCCGUAGGUCUGAAGUGAACUACUCAUGAGUCAUUGGAGGGGCGAUGAUGAUGAUGAUGAAGCCCUCCAACUCCAAAGUCCCCUCCGGUAGGGCACCGGGAAGGGUCUCCAGAUGAGAUAUCGCGGAAAAUGAAGCUUGCGGCGGCGGAAAAGUAUUUUUGAGGCUCCCUUGAUUUUUUGCGGAAUAUUUGGGAAUUUAUAGGCCAAAGAUCUAGGUUAGGGGGUGGCCAGGGAGGCCACAAGCCUGCCCACCGCCGCCUCCCCCCUGGUGGCGGAGUGGCGGCUUGUGGGCUCCCUGGAGCCCACCUGGCUUGGCCCAAAGGCCCCCUGAUCUUCUUCCGUUCGGGAAAAAAUCAUUUCGUGGUUUUUCUUCCAUUUGGACUCCGUUCCAAAAUAACAUCUGAAAAGAGUCAAAAACACGGAAAAAACAGGAACUGGCACUUGGCACUGAAUUAAUAAGUUAGUCCCAAAAAAGAUAUAAAAGGUACAUAAAACAACCAAAGAAGACAAGAUAACAGCGUGAAACCAUCAAAACUAAUAGAUACGUUUGAGACGUAUCAAGCAUCCCCAAGCUUAACUCCUGCUCGUCCUCGAGUAGGGAAGUGAUAAGAAUGAAUUUUUGAUGCUUUCAUGCUACCUAGCAUAGGUGUCCUUUGUAAUUCCUCUUAUGUGACGUGAAUGUUCAUAUACAUUAGAUUCAAAACAAUAGUUUGCUAUUGACGUGGAAACAAUAAUAAUUCAAGCAAACUAGCAAAGUAAUCAUGAACUUUCAAAAUGACAAGGCCAAAAGAAAGUUAUCCCUACAAAAGCAUGUAGUCUGGCUAUGCUCUAUCAUCAUUGCACAAUAAAUUUAAAUCAUGCACAACCCCGGUAUUGGCCAAGUAAUUAUUUCACACCUUUACUUUCUCAAACCUUUUCAACUCUCACGCAAUACAUGAGCGUGAGCCAUGGUUAUAGCACUAUAGAUGGUGUGGAAUGUAGUGGAGGUUGCAAGACAAAAAGGAGAAGAUAGUCACAUUAACUAGGCAUAUCAAUGAGCUCUGGAGAUGCUCAUCAAUAGAUAUUAAUGUGAAUGAGUAGGGAUUGUCAUACAAUUGAUGCACUAGAGCUACGAGUAUGUGAAAGCUCUUAAAGAAAACUAGUGGGUGUGCAUCCAACUUGCUUGCUCACGAAGACCUAAGGCAAUUUUGAGGAAGCCUAUCAUAGGAAUAUACAAGCCAAGUUAUAUAAUGAAAAUUUCCCACUAGCUAUAUGGUGGUGACAAAACGAGAGACUCUCAAUCAUGAAGAUCCUGGUGCUUAAUAUGCACAAGUGUGGAAAAAGUGGUCGCAUUGUCCCUUCUCUCUUUUUCUCUCAUUUUUUUCAUUUUGGUGGGCUCUUUGGCCUCUUUUUUUGGUGGGCUUCUUUGGNNNNNNNNNNNNNNNNNNNNNNNNNNNNNNNNNNNNNNNNNNNNNNNNNNNNNNNNNNNNNNNNNNNNNNNNNNNNNNNNNNNNNNNNNNNNNNNNNNNNNNNNNNNNNNNNNNNNNNNNNNNNNNNNNNNNNNNNNNNNNNNNNNNNNNNNNNNNNNNNNNNNNNNNNNNNNNNNNNNNNNNNNNNNNNNNNNNNNNNNNNNNNCAUCACACUUUCAACUUAAAACUUAGAGUAACAAUGACUUUAUAUGGAAUGCCUUCGGUAGUGUACCGUGGCAAUGAUCUAGCAUGGCAUAGACAUUAAUGGAAACAUCAUGCUAGCUAUCUUACGAUCAUGCAAUGACAAUGUAGACGUGGUGGCACAUGUCAUGGUGGUAGUUGCAUGGCAAUAUAUCUCGGAAUGACUUUGACAAAGCCAUAAUAGGUAGGUAUGGUGGCUGUUUUGAGGGAGGCUAAUGGUGGGUUUUGUGCACCGGCGAAAGUUGCACGACACUAAGAAGAUAAUGAUGGUGGAAGGUGAAAGUGCAUCUAAACCAUGGACUCAACAUUAGUCAUGAAGAACUCAUAUACUUGUUGCAAAAGUUUUAUUAGUAAUCGAAACAAAGCAUUCAACGCAUACUCCUAGGGGAAGGGUUGGUAGGUAUGAACCAUCGCGCGAUCCCGACUGCCCCGCAAAGGAUGACAAUGAAUAGACUAAUCAUGCUCAGGUUUCAUCACAUAGCGGUUCACCAUACGUGCAUGCUACGGGAAUCACUAACUUCAACACAAGUAUUUCUAGAUCCACAACACCUUACUAGCAUGACUUUAAUAUUACCAUAACCACAACUCAAAACUAAUUGGGAU
rnacentral:lncRNA from 1 species